rnacentral:lncRNA from 1 species
CUCUAGUCUAUCUUUCUUCAAGUGAGAUAGUUGAGCCCGCCCCAAGCGGAACCGCAUGAGUUCACCGGGGUUGAGCACGGUCCGCCAAAAUCGGCAUAGGUUAGGUGCUAUUGAUGGAACAUGGUAAGCCUAUCUUUCUUCUCCAUAUGGAAGUGCUGCGGGAUUAAAGGAGUUGGAAGAUGAGCAGGAGUAUUCUCAAUCGACACUCCUAAAAAAGAUAAUAGGUAAUAUGAUAAGGAAUAUGAACAACAAAAGCAAGUCUUUUGAGUAUAAUCCUGGUAUCUUUCUACAAUCAUCUUUGUGGCACAGACCGAUCAAUCCCCGAAAUAAGAUCACUUAAAGGAAAAGAGUUGAAAUAAGACAGGUCUAUAUUCCUAUAGAAAGAGAAGCCCUUUCCCUCCCUGCACGAGUGAGUUGCCAAGUGCCUCCCAGGAGGGCAGUCUACCACAAGAUCUUACUCAUGAAUGUCAAGGAAGAAAAAGAAAGACAAGUAGGUUUGUAAACUAAAGCCAGAAGCCCGAGAAGAGGUGUUCUCCAUUAGUAGAAGUAAGCGGCUGAGUUAGCAAAGCCUACCCUACUAAUGUAUUGUAUAGUAGCGCCUUUUUCUUUUUUAAUAUAACUAAGGCUAGCCCGCUGGUAGUAAAAGGAAGCAGAGAUUCAGGCAAUUAGGCAUCAGGUUGAGUUCAAGAUUGAGACCCCAUAGAUAAGGUAGGUGUUAAUAGAUCAGUUCGGUCUCUGAGGCCACCGAGUAAUCAUAGGUAAAUAGCAACUAUUUCCGACCGAGCAGGUGUAGGGGAAGAAAAGACAUAACCAAAACAAUUGUGUAAAAUAAAUGAAUUUAUCCAGUUGAGGCAUGCUUGAUUGCGCAUUCCUUUAUGCAUUCCGCUGACCUUUCCAUUACCGUGGGAAAGCCUCACUCUCGGUGAAACGGAUAACAAACUGAAUAAGUGGUCGUCGUCCGGCGGUCGGUAGCUCUACUAAACGAAUAACCGCUCGCUGCAUUUUCUUCGCAAAAAACAUGUGUGGUAGCCCAGGAGAAGAGAAGCAAGCUACCUUCGCCUACCUCCCCGCCGCUCAUGACAAGCGAGCAGCAGACUAGGUUUCAUUAUUAUAUAGGACUUCUUUUGUGUUACCACGCCUCUCUUGACCUCUGCUUGCAUCUCAAGAAAGUAUAAGGGUCGCCGAAGGUGAGGGAAGAGAUAUCCAAUUUGAUAUCUUAUGAUAUAUUGAGGAUGCUGCAGCAGUUUGGUUUCACCUCUAGAUGGAGUGAGUGGAUCAGGGCUUCCAAAACCUUUCUUUUUUUGGUAUGACGCUCCGCGAGCAAGGAGUGCCACGUACGAGCGGAGCGAAAACAAAGCCGGUCAAAGAUUCCAUUGGAAAGGUAGAUGCCAUUUCUGCUAUUUCAGUAAUGCCUGAGCAGGGGCAGCCCAGCCUUAGUCUAACUAAGUAUUCUAUCCUUACUAUGACACUGCGCAAAAGAACCAGGCAUAGUGUGAAAUAUGAUAAUACAAAUAGGGGCGUGCCACAUUCUUGGUUUAAGUAUACUAGAACAUAUUCCAUUUUAUUGACCGUGAACGGCUGUCGAACCACUAGGGGAAAAAUAAUAAAAAAAGUUUCUAAAAAUAAAAAAUACUCAAAAAUAAUUGAUAAGGGGGUUGAGCAUCCUUUGUAGAGCACUUUGCUGGCGCUACGCUAUCACGCUACAACUAGCAGCCCCUUUUUGCUAUUUCUAUCUAUUAUUUGUUAGGGCUUUUCCCUAACUAACAGCGAGAGAGGGAGUGAAAGAGGCUGGAAAGUACGAAGCAGGUUCUAUGCAAUUGAGCUCGACUGAAAGGAAGAUUUCUUACAUAGGCCCAGGAGAGGAGGGCUAUAGAGCUAGGAGUGGAUCGAGGGUUUGUCCAUUGGGAUUGGUUUGAUAUAGUUUAUGUGUUACUGGUUCCCGGAAGAGUUAAUAUCUCCAUUAACUAAACCCUUUCUUACUCUAGGAUAGAUUCAUGAAAUGAGCAAGCAUCUGAUAUAUUUUACACCUUUUUCCUAACGCCUAUGUGACUUGCCAAAGUCGUCGCUUCAUAUUUCUUGCUUAAAGCGUCGCAACUUAUACUCUUUAAAGCUGCACUUUAAACUUAACCACAUUUGAGCACCUGUUUUCUUGCUCCUUGUCCUGGAGGCUCUCCGGCUGGAGAGAGGCUUGCUAUCGUAACGUUUACAAGCCAUGAUCUAAAAGUGAUUGACCCUUAGGCGAGAAAGACUAAUCUUCGAAUUUCGCUGGAAAACGAGUCCCGUCCUUGCCUUUCUAAGAAGUUACUAUCCCCAACAGGAUUGGAACUCUAGUUGUUCAAGUUCCGUUCACCUCCUUUUCCUUCCAAUUAGUGAAAUUCUAUCUAUUUCUUUCUUGGGGAAUUGUGGUCGACCUCGACUAAAUGACCUGGGCCUGAAGAAGGACAGGCUUUUGCAAUGAAAUCUUUCUCCAGAUAAUGCCUUGAUUACAUAAAUAAUCUAUUCCGCUACACCUACCUGUGGUAUAGGUGUGUUCAAACACACCACACCAUUUUUUUCCUUUUGAGAGGGUACUCCGAGUAGUGGGUACCUCGUAGGACCUCGACCCGCCUACUUGGGUCUUGUAUGGAUAUGCAGGAAGAUCUUUAGCUAACCAUUACCUUCUCUAAAUACCCAGGUUCCGUGAUAUCAGAUCGCAAUUCUGAUUCUUUUGCCAUCACCUUCUAUUACUUCCUUGGUCGAGCAUCUAUCAACACCUGACGAUGAGGAGAGUGAUCGAUUCACCAUGUACCUGAUUCAAUACAACUAUCUAGCCCUAUUAUCGAAGCACUUCGUUAUAUACGUCGCCAUUUGACGAUCUGUCUUUAGUAGGUCGUUUAUUCUUUCUUACUGAGAAUCGAGCGCGGGGCUUGAAAACCCUACCGUAUUCCGGCCACGGGGCCCUCAAUUGGUCCUUUCUCUCUUCUCUUUUACCAGUGAGUGGUGAGUUACAUAUGUACCUUUAGUAGUCUGUUAUCUCAUACGCUACCCUAACUACCAUAUGUACUUUUCUUCUGCCAUCUAAUCAACCCAUUGAUUCAGUCUUGGAAGGUGGUGCGUACUAAUGGCGUUUGUUAAGUCUUUGAUGAAGUGGUUUUCUUGCCUGACGAAGCCCUUCAAACUAUACUUACACCUCAGCAGCCGUUACUAGCAAACCCAACCUAGUGGAUCCUUGCGCUUUAUGAAAGUACGCUGUACUGGCCUUCCUUCCCCUAGCUGUCAGUGAGACUUAUUUUCUUUAUUUUCAAGGCUUCUCAGACUCUUGUGGAUUCGCCUAUUUCUUCCCUCGCUUGUGACCAGCUUCUCUUGUUGUUGUUUCUAGAAAAAAGUAGAAGUCAUGUGACAAGCAGUGCUUUUUCUUAGCGCGUUCGUUGGAGUCGUGGAAACGAAGCAAGGCUCGUUAUAGAGGAAAUAUGGAAUCUUCUAGAAAAAAGUGGAACCCAUGCACCUUUUCGCUUGAAAGAGCUUUGAUCACGACUGGUUGUAAACAAACCACUGUCUCGUCUAUGCUUUCUAUCGAGCUCCGCUCUCCCCGCCCCAUUCAUGGCUUGCUGUUCCCCAAACUCUUUCUGGCAAAACCCUCUGAAUUUUUAGAGAAAAACCACGCUAAAUUUUUUUGAGAUUUUGAAACUUAUUGCACCUAACCUUUGGGCAUAUCAAAACAAGAAAAGGCACUACAUGCGGAAGAGAAAGGGAGAGGAAAUACAGUACACAUGUCAGUCUAUUCUACAUCAAUAUUGUUCAAGCAAAAAUCAAAAUGGGAUGUCUAUAUGAUGAAUUUCUAAAUAAAAAAGAAAUAGUGAGUGAGAAAGAAGAUGUGAGUCCAAAAGGCAACAAUCAAACGCCCCUUUAUUAGUAAGGUUGCUGCUUGUCCCACAAGUCGUCUUUGGCUCGUCUCCUUCCGCGAUAUGCACCUGGUAGUAGUAGUAGCCCGGCCGUAAAUCCAACUUCGAGAAGUAAAAGAAAAUCAAGACAGAUGCCGAGAGAAACUGUUAGACUUCUUUAUUGCGUUGUGAAGAGAGAUCUACCGUUUAUCCACAAUCUGCUCAGCUCUUUAUGAGCUAAGCUAUUGCAUAUGAAAAAAAGAAUCCAAUCAUCUACCUAAGCCGCUUCUAGAUCCUUCUUUGAUUCGCGAGAACUCACUCAGCCUAACCAAAGCAUCACAACAACAUCCAAAGGUUGACAAAAUCAACGCUACUAAGGACCGGGGCGAGCGGAAUUCAGUAGAGGCUCCUCCUUUCGCUUCAUCCAUUGAUCAAUGUCCUCGCAGAUGGACUGAGCAUCAAAUGCUUGGGGAAGGAGAGUGAACAAGAAGCAAAAAUUCUAUUAAUUAGAUUCCGCUAUCAAGAGAAGGAAUACCUGGCAAAGUCCCAUAUCCUCAUCAUUGGCCUUGGAGGGGAAUCAACUAAACCGAUCUUUCUAUGUCUUCAUCUCUCAAGAACCCUGACGGAACUACAUGAAAAGCUAAGCAAAGGCGAGUAACGUUUCCCUCCGCAGGGGCCUAUUCCUUAUCCCUCUUUUCCUUAAUAAUAAGGUAAGCUUUCAAGCCCCUUUACUUGCUUGAUAUUCUACUAGUAAAGCGCUGGAGCCCCCCUUGUAUAUGAUCUCUUCACCAAAAGUCACACCAAAACCAUUAAAAUUGAAAAUGGCCAAAGUUUUUUUCAUGCAUUCAUAUUGUAAGCUUUGCCUAUAAAUAGAGAAGUAGAAUGCAUUUGUAAAGCACCCCAAUUUGUGAGAAGUAGAGAGCAAUUGCAAGUGAGCUCUUUGGGACAAUUUGAGAGAGCUACUUGAGUGUUCUAGUGAGGUUCAAUGUUGUGAAAAAUUUUAAUAUACUCGCAAGUGCACGAAUCUAGAAAUAGAAUAGUGGUAACGAGGUCGAACCCACAUGGAUUGUUAUAAAUUGAAAAGUCUAAUUUAAAUCUAAAAUUAAUAUUAAUUCUAACCUAAUUGAGCAAAUUGAAUUUUUAAGGGAAAUUAAACUAAUUAAACUAAGAAAACAAUUAAAGCAAAUGAAAAAUCAAUAAGACAAAAAUUACCAAGGUUUCAGAAUCUACCACUAUUCAACUAGUAAUUAUCUAAUUAUUAAUUAAUCCCCAAUUUUAAAGUGACAACUCGAAAUCAAUCUAUGUCAUCUCAUAAAUAUAACAAUUAAGCCCAAUUAAAAUUAAUCUUGUGUAGGUUCUUUUUCUGCUUAAUAGUAUGAUAUCUAAGAAUCUCAUGUAAACAUAUUGAAUAACAAAGAGUCAAAGUUUUCCUAAGCACUCUGUGUAAACAAUUUAAUGAAAGACAGAAUCAAAUAUAAUCAUGUAUAAAUUUUAUAGAUCCAAGCAUAGAUUUCAUCGAAUAUCAAUCAUAACAAUUAAUAAUGCAUGACAGAAUUAGUGAAAAUAUUUAAUAACACCCAAUUAAUUAUGUGAAACAAAAAUCAUAAUCAUCAAAGAACAUAUAUAGGAAAUUAAUUAAAUGAAAAAAUAAUUAUUUCAUUGAAUAGGAUUUCAUCCUUAACCUCAAUAUAAGAAAAUUAGUUAAACAUACUUGAAUUAGGAGCAACAAACGAAAUAAAAUCAGCCAUGGGAAGCCGAACUGCUGCAGCCAGUUUUCUCCCGAAUCGCGUCUGCUUUUUUUUUUUCCUUCCUCUGGCGGCUGCCGUCCGUCUUCUCUUCUUUUUUCCUGGCGGCUACCCCCUAAUUCUUUUUAUAUUGUAACGCCACCACAAAAUCCUUAAAUCAAAAGGAUUUUAAAACAAGCCAAGCACAACCAACUUUAAGCCCAUGCACGUGAAGCCCACUCGAAAUCAAUGGUCAAUGCUUUUCCAACUAUUCACGUGAGAUGCACACUUGGAAAGCCAAUUAUUCUCCUUUAAGCAUCUUUUUUCCUCUUUUCUUUUAUUCUUCACAAGCUAGCAAUUAUUUCCAUAAACUCUAUUUUGUUUCCUUUUUAAGCUCCCUUUCAUCAAUGGCUUCCACAAAUUGAUUUGAUCUUCAAUGCUGUCCAAUUAUUAUUCCUUAUGCACUUUUCAUCCAUAAUCUCCAAUUAAUUCCUUAAUCAAUAAAAAAAUUCAAUUAAUUAAAAAUAGGAAAAUUAUCCACCGUCCACCCGUUUUUUCACCGUUUUUCAAAAAUACACAAUUCUUUUUUUUUUUUUGGCUGGAAUCCACCUGAAAUUACAUUUCUUUUCACUUUUCCACUUCCGUUUGGAGACCGUUAUAACUUUGCUAACAUCAUAAGGGUAAAAUCAUCAUUUUACAAUGACACAGAGGUGGAUAGGUGUAAAACAAUACAACUUCGAGUGGAGGUCAGCAAAAAAAAAAUUAAGAAUUGUGUAUUUCUGAAAAAAAUAUGAAAAAAACAAGUGGUCGAUGGAUAAAUUAUCUUUUACAUUUGAGGGUAAAAAAGUCAUUUAAGCAAUAUUCCGUUAAUUUCCUUAACGGAUUCCAAACGGAAGUGGAAAAGUGAAAAGAAAUGUAACUUCAGGUGGAUUCCAGAAAAAAAAAAGAAUUGUAUAUUUUUGAAAAAGUUGGAAAAAACGGGUGGACGGUAGAUAAUUUCCCUUAAAAAUAACAAAUAAAAAUAACUAGCAAUUAUAUAAUUAAGGAUAAAAUAUGUAUAUAUUCUAUGCUCAUCAAAUACCCCCAAACUUAGAUUUUGCUAGUUCUCGAGCAAAACUAAAACUAAAAACAAAAAUAAAAGUAACGAAAAAAUAAAUCCUAACUAAACUAUUUUCGCAGGUAAUCGUGAUUGCAUUUAGCGUAUGCAACAAGCCUUUAAACCCCUAGGCGACCUUAGUGGACGAGUUAUAGUCUCAUGAGGGCUUCAGUGAUGAUACCCACAAACAUCAUUUAAAAAAAAAUAAAUAAAAAGAACAAAAAAAUUUAAAUAAAAUAUGAAAAUAGCCUCAAAGAUCGCAUAAAUUAUAUAGCUCAAAGAAAAUUUCAAAUUUUGGCAAAGUUCUAACUUUAAUUCAAUAGUCAAUCCCAUCUCUCUUUCGAUUCUUGUAGUGUGUGUGUGUGGAAUCAAUUCAAUCAAAUUCAUUCCCAAAAUCAUCAAUAUCAACAGCCUUCGCCUCAAACAAAGAAAAGAGUAAGUCAAAUUAAUCUUAUCAUCUUAAUCUCCAAAUUUUUUUUUUCACAAGCUUUUAUGUGCAUUUUCUUUUUUUUUUUAACACAUGCACUUGAUUUGUUUUCUAUUUGUUUUCUAUUUUUUUCUUUACUUUCUUUUCUUUUUUUUAACCAUAGUCACGAGCUUUCACUCUACCCCUUAAGGUAGCCUUCUUCUCAUAGUAGAUUAUCUUCUACAUACUGGUGGUACAUAGGCCUAAAUUACUCAAGGAUAGCUUUACUCUUAAGGGUUAUGGAUAGCUAUUUCUGACUUUGGUGCCUGUGUAUACUAUUUUAUAUUGUGGAGAUAACAAUUAAGACAAACAAUCAUUUACUCUAUCUAAAAUUCUCAACUCAGACUGCGUCAAUAUCAAAUUUCAAGUCAAAAUUACGAAAGAAUUAAUAUUAGUGCUCAUGAUUAAAGAAUCUCAAUCAAGAUGAAUUAACACAAGAAUCAAGUAUAAACUAAGACAAUAUUCAACCCUUUCUAAGAACUAUAUUAAUUGUCAAUCAAGUUCUUAUCAUUGGCUUUUCACAUUAAAAAAAUAAUUUUUUUUAAUUUUUGAAUGUUUUGAAUUUUUUUAAUAAACAAAGCACAAACUAUUCCUACCCCCAAAUUUAUUCGGAACAUUGUCCUCAAUGUUUCACAAACAAAAUAUAUGCAUGCAAAAAGAUGAGAAAAUAAAUAAAUAAAAACAUAAAUAAUAAAAGAAAAAGUUAGAGAGAACACACCUAGGGGGCUGGAAAAGUUUAAAAGAAAAUUAUAAAUAAAAAGAAAACGUUAGAAAAGAAAAACAAGCAAAGAAAAGAAAACCUACUAUUUAAAUAAAACAAGAAUGUAAAAAUGAAAUUAACUAAUCCUGAUAAACAAGAUCAUCUAAAAGUAUCUCCUUGACUUCUGGUGUUCUUAACUCUAAAAAUGGUUUUAAUCUUUGACCAUUGACCUCAAAUAAAUCACCAUUUUGAGGAUUUUUAAUCUCAAUUGCUCCAUAAAGAAAGACAGUACGAACUAUAAAAGGACCAGACCAUCGAGAACGUAACUUACCUGGAAAGAGAUGCAAUCGAGAAUUGUAUAAAAGUACUUUCUAACCUGGUGUAAAGGAUUUUUUCAAAAUGUGCUUGUCAUGAAAUACUUUCAUUCGUUGCUUGUAAAUCUUGGCAUUCUCAUAUGCAUAAUUCAUGAUCUCUUCAAGUUCUGCUAGUUGUAAUAUUCUCUUGGAACCAGCCUGCUGCAUAUCAAAAUUGAAUUUCUUGAUAGCCCAAUAUGCACGAUGCUCCAACUCUACCGGCAGAUGACACACUUUUCCAUACACAAGUCUGUAAGGCAACAUCCCAAUUGGUGUUUUGAAAGCAGUCCUAUAUGCCCAUAAUGCAUCAUUAAGUCUCAAAGACCAAUCCUUUCCAUCUGACCUAACUGUUUUUUUCCAGAAUUUGCUUGAUCUCUCUAUUAAAAAUCUCUACUUGGCCACUGGUUUGAGGAUGGUAUGGGGUGUCAACCUUAUGUAUAAUGGAAUAUUUGUUUAAAAAAGUUUUGAAAGGUUUAUUGCAAAAAUUGGUACCGCCAUUACCAAUGAUUGCUCUAGAGAAACCAAAACGAGAUAGAAUAUUACUUUUCAAGAAUUUCACUACAACUCUAUGAUCAUUGGUUUUGCAUGGAAUAGCUUCAACCCACUUCGACAUAUAGUCCACUACAACCAAUAUAUACUGAUAACCAAAAGAUUGAGGAAAAUGUCCCAUGAAAUCAAUACCCCAUACAUCGAAGAUCUCAACCACCAGGAUAUGAUUGAGUGGCAUCAUAUUCCUCUUUGAAAUGCUACCCAUGCGUUGGCAUCUAUCACACAAAGAACAGAAAACAUAAGCGUCAUGAAAAAGAGUAGGCCAAUAAAAACCACACUGUAAAAUUUUUGUUGCUGUCUUUUUGGUACUAAAAUGACCUCCACAAGCUUGUUCGUGGCAAAAAGAGAUGACACCUUGAAUUUCAAUUUCUGGAACACAUCUCCUAAUAAUCUAAUCAGCACAAUAUUUGAAUAAAUAUGGAUCAUCCCAAAAGAAAUUCUUCAUUUCGGAUAAGAACUUUGUUCUAUCUUGCUUAGUCCUGUGUUCUAGGAUUUGACCUGUGGCAAGGUAAUUAACUAUAUCAGCAAACCAUAGUACAAAAUUUACACUCAUAAGUUGCUCAUCCAGAAAAGACUCAUUCAAAGGUAAAGAUUCUGGAAUAAAUUUAAGAUAAAGGCGAGACAAGUGAUCCACCACAACAUUUUCAGAACCUUUUUUAUCUCUAAAUUCAAUGUCAAAUUCCUGUAAAAGCAAUACCCAACGAAUCAAUCUUGCCUUAGCAUAUUUCUUAGUAAGCAAAUAUUUUUAAAGCAGCAUGAUUAGUAAAAAUAAUCACUUUACAACCUAUAAGAUAAGAUCUGAAUUUAUCAAGUGCAAAUACCACAGCUAGCAUUUCUUUUUUUGUAGUUGAAUAGUUCAACUGUAUAUCAUUGAGUGUCAUACUAGCAUAAUAAAUCACAUAAGGCACACGAUCUAAUCUUUGUCCUAAAACUGCUCCUACAACAUAAUCAGAUGUAUCACACAUAAUUUCAAAGGGCAAAUCCCAAUUAGGUGGCUGAAUGAUAGGUGAAGAAGUCAGCAAUUCCUUAAGCUUUGCAAAAGCAUCAAGACAAGAUUCAUCAAAGAUAAAAUGUGCAUACUUAACAAGUAAAUUACAUAGGGGUCUAGAAAUUUUACUAAAAUCUUUAAUGAAUCUUCUAUAAAAACCAGCAUGUCCAAGGAAAGAUCUUACUUCUUUUAUGGAUUUGGGAUGUGGAAGAUUAGAAAUUAAAUCCACCUUAGCUUUGUCGACUUCUAUACCUCUGCUGGAAAUUAUAUGACGAAGAACAAUACCUUGUUUUACCACGAAGUUACACUUUUUCCAAUUUAGAACCAAGUUCUUUUCUUUACAUCUCUACAAAAAUAAUGUUAGAUGUUGCAAACAUUCAUCAAAUGAAUCUCCAUAAACAGAAAAAUCAUCCAUGAAUACUUCAAGAAAUCUCUCAACCAUAUAAGAAAAAAUACUAAGCAUGCAUCUUUGAAAGGUAGCAGGUGCAUUGCAUAAACCAAAUGGCAUUCUCCUAUAUGCAAAAGUUCAAAAGGGACAAGUAAAAGUAAUUUUCUCUUAGUCCUCUAGAGCUAUAGGGAUCUGAUUUUAACCUGAAUAUCCAUCUAGAAAACAAUAGAAAUCAUGACUUGCAAGUCUAUCAAGCAUUUGAUCAAUAAAUAGAAGAGGAAAAUAAUAUUUUCUUGUGCCUGAAUUCAGUUUUCUAUAAUCAAUACAAACACGCCAACCUGUAGUUACUCUAGUAGGAAUUAAUUCAUUAUUAGCAUUAGUAACUGCCGUAACACCAGAUUUCUUAGGAAUGACUUGCACAGGGCUAACCCAAGAGCUAUCUGAAAUAUGAUAAAUAAUUCCUGCAUCUAAUAAUUUAAUUACUUCAGCUCUUACUACUUCUUUCAUGUUAGGAUUUAGCCUACGUUGCAUCUCCCUAAUAGGUUUAGCAUUUUCUUCAAAAUGAAUACGAUGCAUCUAAUCUACUGGAUUAAUACCUUUAAUAUCAACGAUGAUCCAUCCUAUUGCCUCCUUAUGCUUUUUUAAAAUACCCAACAACUUACCUUUUUGCUUAAGAUCGAGGGAGGAAGAAAUAAUAACAAGUAGAGUGUCAGAUUCUCCCAAGAAUGCAUAUUUGAGAGUGUCGGGCAGUGCUUUGAGUUCCAAUUUUGGUGGUGUCUCUGCAGAUGAGCUAAUCUUCUUCUCAGAAUGAGGCAGUGGUUCUGCCUUUGUCUUCCAUUUAGUUGUGUCCAUAAUUGAAGGUGCAUCAAGUAAGGCGUUGACUUCUGUAAUUACACUGUCAUCAUUAAAAGAUACAUCAGAAUGAGUUAGACAUGCCUCUAAUGGAUCAUCAGUAUAGUUAGAAAUGAAUGAAUCUUCUACUAAUUCCUCUAUCAUAUUUGCUUCGAUAAAUUCAUCUUCUUCCUGUGGCUACUUGGUAACAUUAAAAAUAUUAAAUUCCAUGGUUAUAUUACCAAAAGAUAGCUGCAUGUUUCCAUUCCUGUAAUUAAUAAGAGCAUCAGCUGUAGCUAAGAAAGGACGACCUAGAAUAACUAGGGUGUGUUUCUUAGGAUCCUGUACAUGCUGAGUAUCAAUAACAAUAAAAUCAAUAGGAUAAUAAAAUUUAUCAAUCUGUAUCAACACAUUCUCUAUAAUACCACGAGGUAUUUUCAUUGACCUAUCAGCAAGUUGCAAAAUAAUAGAAGUUGAUUUUAACUCACCUAGUCCAAGCUGCAUGUAAACAUAAUAAGGCAAGAGAUUAACACUAGCACCCAAGUCCAAUGAUGUUUUAUCAAACAAUUGGUUCCCUAUAACACAUGAGAUAGUAAGGGAACCUGGAUCCUUAAAUUUUGGUUGCAUUUUACAUUGAAGUAAAUUACUAGUUUGUUCAGUUAAAAAUACUUUUUUGGUGACAUGCAAAUUUCUCUUUUUAGUGCAUAAAUCUUUCAAAAACUUGGCAUAUGAAGGAACUUGCUUAAUAGCAUCGAGUAAAGAGAUGUUUAUACUUACCUGCUUGAAGAUUUCCAUAAUCUCACCUGUUGAAGUUCAUUUCUUUACCUUUGUUAACCUUUGAGGAAAAUAAGCCUUGGGAAUGUAAGCUGGUGGGCCACUCUCUUCUGGAUAAUUUAGUGAUGAGUCUUCUAAUGGAACUGGAUCUGAAGAAGUAGGCUCAGAUGUCUUCCUUGUUUGAACCUCCACUUUGUUGUCAAACAAUUUUCCUCUUCUCAAGGUCAUAAUAGAUUUUGCUUCUUCAUGUUGAUGGCUUGAACUCGAUCCAACUUCAUGCACUCUUUUAGGAUUAGGAACUAGUUGACUUAGGAAUUUUCCUUUUUCUCUCUCAGCCACAGUAGUUGCUAAUUGACCCAAUUGAUGUUCAAGCUUUAGAAUAGCUUGAGUGUUUGACUGAAAGGCCUGUUGGGUUGAUUGGAUGAAACUUUAAAGUGUAUCUUCUAAAGAAGGUUUUCUUUGUUGGGUGCAACAAAUUGAAACAUAGGCUGUUGGGCAGGAGGAUAUACUUGGUUAGGAGGGAUAAAUUGCUGAUUGGGCAAGUUAAAUUGUUGUCCUCCUUGGUUUGACAAAGGUUGAUUUUCUUUCCAAGAAAAAUUAGGAUGAUUCAUCCAAUUAGGAUUAUAUGUGAGUGAAUAUGGAUUAUUGGAGGUUUCUCAUAUGAUUGUAAGGCAUAUACAUGCUCAGGAUAAGCCUCUUGAUAGGCUGGUAAUGAUGGACAAUUUUGUGCUGUAUGAGACAAGUUAGAACAAAGAGCACAAAUCUCAUUAGCUACACUGAGAUGAUGAUUCAUUGAUUGGUUCAGAGCUAAGGCAUCUACUUUCCUAGAAAGAGUAGAUAGAGUGGCUUUCACAUCAAAAUCAUCUUCAACUUCAUAUAAACCCUUUCUAGAAACUUGAGGCGAUUUCUCUCUUUGAUGUGAAAAAUUCCACUGUUGAGAAUUCUCAGAAAGUGAAUUAAAGAAAUCACAUGCAGCCCUUUCAUGUAGGUUAAAAAAUCUCCCACCAUUCAUAGACUCUACCAUAUGACGAUUUGACAUGGUUAAACUGUUAUAAAAGCAUUGUAUAAGUCUCCAUUUCUCAAAACUAUGGUGGGGACACUUGAGGAGUAAAUCAUUAAAUCUUUCCCAACACUCAUAAAAUUGCUCUUUGAUAAAUAUCACUUAUCUCUCUCCUAAGGGCAUAUGUUUUAGACAUAGGAAAAAACUUGGUGAGGAACUUGUUGCUUAAUUCAUCCCACGUAGUAAUAGACCCAGCAUGAAGUGAAUUCAACCAAGCUUUCGCUUUGUCUUUUAAUGAGAAAGGGAACAUACGAAGCCUAAUUGACUCAUUAUUAAAAUUUUGAAAACGAAAUGUAGAGCAUAUGUCAAGAAAUUCCUUAAUGUACAAAUAUGGAUCCUCUCUCUCUAACCCAUGGAAAGAUGGUAAGAGUUGAAUGACAGAUGGGUUAAGUUCAAAGUGUGUUACUGCAGUUUGUGGCAACACAAUACAAGAUGGUUGGUUGGCUGCAAGUGGUGAAAAAUAUUUUCUAAGAGUUUUCUCUACUUGCACUGGUGGAAGUAUUGGCAAUAGUCUAUUAGGGUCAUCUAUCACUUCUGAAGAACUAUCUCGACUACAAUCAAUUUUUAACUCUUUUUUUUUUACCAAACGAUUUGUUAAAUCGCGUUCCCAAAUACUCAUAACUAGAUAAGGAAAGAAAAAAUAAAAAACAAUAAAAUAAAAUAAACCAACAAUAAUGAAAAUAAACAAAAUUUAAAAAUAAAAGAAAUCAAACAACCAAACAAUGAAUUUAAAGACAAAUAAAAAUAAAAAUUAAUAAAAAAUUAAAUAAAUAAAAUAAAAGACAACCUAAAUUAUAACUAGUGAAAGAAUCAAAUCAACCUAAAUUAAACUGACUUUCUGGCACAAUCCCCGGCAACAGUGCCAAAAAGUUGUUGUGAAAAAUUUUAAUAUACUCGCAAGUGCACGAAUCUAGAAAUAGAAUAGUGGUAACGAGGUCGAACCCACAAGGAUUGUUAUAAAUUAAAAAGUCUAAUUUAAAUCUAAAAUUAAUAUUAAUUCUAACCUAAUUGAGUAAAUUGAAUUUUUAAGAGAAAUUAAACUAAUUAAACUAAGAAAACAAUUAAAGCAAAUGAGAAAUCAAUAAGAUAAAAAUUACCAAGAUUUCAGAAUCCACCACUAUUCAAAUAGUAAUUAUCUAAUUAUAAAUUAAUCCCCAAUUUUAGAGUGAUAACUCGAAAUCAAUCUAUGUCAUCUCAUAAAUAUAACAAUUAAGUCCAAUUAAAAUUAAUCUUGUGUAGGUUCUUUUUCUUUUUAAUAGUAUGAUAUCUAGAGAUGGCCAAUGGGCCGGGCGGCACGUGGCACGGCAUGGGCACGACACGUGUCCGUACGGCACGGCACGGCACGAGCACAUUUCGGUGGGGCACAAGGCACGGCACGGCACGCAUGUGGGCCGUGCCCGACCUAGAAUUUUAGGCACGCGGGCCUUAAAGCACAGCACGAUUAGAGAUGAGCCAAAGCACGGCACACGAAAAAGCACGUAAUAUGCACGGUUCAUUGGUGGCCUAGCACGCGGCCCGUGGGCCAUCAAUAGCACGUGGGCCAAAAUAUAUCUAAGUAAAAUUUUUUAAUAAAAAGUAAAUAUAAAAUGUUAUGAAAUUAAAGUAAAAUAUCUUGGAAUUAAAUGUUUUAAUAUAUUUUUUAGCAUAGACUUUUAAAAAUUAAUUUAAAUCAUUAAAUCUUAGUUUAAAUAAAUAUUCUAAUUUUUUUGUGUUUAUAAUUUAUUAAAUGAAUAAGUAAAUAUCAUGAUUUUAAUAAAUAAAAUUAUAAAUAUCAUAAUUUUAUUUAUGAUAUUUAUUAAAUGAAUAAUGUUAUUUAUUUAUGUUUAUAAUUUAUUAAAUGAAUAAGUAAAUAACUAAAUAUCAUGAUUUUAAUAAAUAAAAUUAUAAAUAUCAUAAAUUUAUAAAUGAUAAAUAAAAAAUAAAAAUUUUAACAACAUUAAUAAUAAAAUAUUUUUCAUAUUAAUAUUAAAUCAUAACUUAGUUAAUAUUUAAUAGAGAUAUGUUUCAUUUGUGAAUGAAAUAUUUUUCAUAUUUAUACACAAGAAAAAUUUAUGAACGAAAUAUUUUUAUGAUGAAUUAAAAAUUACAUUUUCAUUAAAUGAAGUUCAAGUACAAUUAUAAUAUUAGUAAUUCAAAUACAAUUAGGUGUAAUUUGCAUUACUACAGUUAACUAUACAUCACAGCUAGGUUGGCACCUACUGAACCAUCUAUCAUUUGUAAAUUUACAACCUUCUGACUAAUAAAGUUUGUUUCAAAAAGUUAAAAGAAAAAAAAGUCUCUAGUCUUUGGAAGUGGCUUUAAUGUUCAGUACUCUGCAUAAUCUGGAUCCACUUCAUCUUGAUCAACAUCCAAACUCUCAAUUUGUUUAAUUAAAGCAUUUUGCCAAUCUUGUUGCACUCGACGUUCAGCAGCUUCCCAAUCUUUCAAACACAACAAAGAGUCUAAUGUCUCUGAUGACAAUCUUGACCGACGUUCAUCUUGAAUUCUGCCACCUGUACUAAAAGCUUAUUCGGAUGCUACAGUUGAAGUUGGAGGGGUUAGUAGAUCACGGGCCAUAAUGGAUAAUAUAGGGAAAAAAGAUGUCUUACCUAUCCAAAAUUCUAAAAUAUCAAAAUUUUGCAAUUGUGAAGGAGUUGCUAAAUCUUCAAGAUUGGAGAACAAUAUCUUUGCAAUUCAUUACGAUUAGUAUCAAUACUAGAGGCAACGCCCUUACCUUUGAGUAACAAAAGGUGAGCUGGAUUUUUAUAAGAAGUCGAUGCUUGUUGAACAUUAGAAUAUGUAUUGCUUGAUCCGAAUUUAUUUCAAUAAAAAUUAAAAAAGUUCAUGCACAGAGGACAUAAUUGUAUCAAAAUUUGUAUCAAGUUUGUAAAUUUUCACUAAUACCCUCAACUAAAGGUUUUGCACCAACUUCCUUGAUUGUAGGAUCCAACACUGCUGCAAAAAUAAAUAGGUGGGGAAUAUCUUUUCAAUAUUUUUGAAAUUUUUCCUCCAUGGCAUCAGAAAUAUUUUUAAACAUAAUAUUCUCUCUAAAAGUCUUAAAAGUAUAACUCAUAUUAUACAAGUGCAUCAACACUCUACAUGAAGUAGGCUCAUAAACAGUAGAACAUGCAAGAGUAGCAUCAUAAGAUACCUUUAAAAAAUCCAUAAAUUUAAAUGCAAUAUUCCAAUCAUAAUCAGUGAUAUGAUAAUCUUCAUCAUUCAUUCUCUCAUUGUAAAAACUAGAAAUUGCUUCAGAAUGGUUUUGGCAAGAAAGCAACAUCAAAUACGUAGAAUUCCAACGAACUUUCAUGUCAAUGUUGAAUUUUCUCCUUUUCAAUCCAAAAAUUUUCAACGUAGACAAAAAUUGUUGACGUCUUGAAGGUGCUCUAAUAAAUAAAAUGGCUGCUCUAAUUUUUUCUAAAUAAUGAUUUAUAUGAGUCAUACUAGCUUGAACAAUUAAAUUAAUAAUAUGACACACACAUCUCACAUGAAAAAAUUUUGAACCACGUGCAGGCGUGAGAGUAGAAAUAUUCCGCAAAAACAUAUCAAUUGCAGCUGUAUUGGCAGAUGCAUUAUCAAAUGAUAUGCUAAACAAUUUAUCAGUAAUUUCAUAUUCUCUUAAAACAGACAUUAUAGCUGCAUAAAUUAUUGAACCAGUGUGAGGAUAUUCUAAUUCACGAAAUGCAAGCAAUUUUUUUUCCAACCUCCAUUUACCAUUAAUCUCAUGUAUAGAGUGCGAAGUCACACAAAAAUAACCAACCAUAUUAAUACUAGUCCAACAAUCAGAAGAAAUUGAAAUAACACCAUUAAAAUUGAUAAAAGUAUUAAUUAAAAGUUUUUUCAUGUCAUGAAAAAUUUUAGUUAAAUCACGUUUUAAUGUAUUUCUAGGCACUUUCUUAAGUUGAGGCUGAACAUACCUUUGCAGAAAAUUUAUUAGACGUUCAUCUUCUGAAAAUGUUAAAGGUUGUUCUGCUGCAGCAAUAUACCGAGCCAAUCCUUCUCGCAUGUUCUGUUGUGAAUAUCUGAAUGAUGUUAUACCGGAAGGUCCAGAACCAUAUUUUGAGAGUUGGGUUUGUGUUGGGUCUUGUGGCGCGUGUUUGUCUGACAAGUUUCCAUAUGUCAUCUAAGAUGUCCAGUUCCACCAUUGCUUUUGGCACUUAAAGCGGAUUGACAAUAUUUACACACUGCUUGAUCCACCAUUUCACCUUUUUUGUUUUGACGUUUUUCCAAAGUAAAACAUGACCAAACAAUCGAUGUUCUUUGUCAUUUGGAGGUAGUAGUAGGAUUGACAGUCGAAGAAGUAUAACCACUUUGACUUGCUUGAGAAGUAGGAGGCGAUCGUUCAGGUGGGACAAUAAAUAUAUUACUUAGAUCAAAUUCUGGUGCAUCAAUUUCUUCAUUUGCAACUUCCUCCCCCUCUUCAACAAAAUUAAAAUUCUCAUCUAACUCGAAAUGAGAGUGAGACAUUUUAUAUAAUUAGCGUUUUGGUAAAUAAAGGCGGCUGGAAUGUAUUUGUGCGGGUGAAAAAAAAGAAAAAAUUUAUUGAGCAAGAGAAUGGAGAUUCGUGUGUUAAAUGGUGUUGAAUGAUGUUUUGCUUUUGUUUGAGAUUUCAGUAACAAAGGGAAAUUGCUGGAAUUGUAGCAAAGUUUCGAGAAGAUUGGGCAAGCAGAGACUAGAGAUGACUGAUGAGACAAGAGAGAUAACGAAGAGAUAGAGAUUGAGAAGUGAGAAUAAAAUUAAUUUAGAAUUGUUUUCUUUAUUUAAUAAUUAGAAAAAAUUAAUUUUUAAGUGCACCGUUGUUAUUUAUUUUUUAAAAUAAUUUUAGUAAUUAAUUUUUUUUUCAAAACAACGUAUUAAAUUAAAAAGAAAAUUAUGGUUCAUUGUUACAAGAGAAUCACGCAACUAUCACAAUGUUAAUAAAUCCUAUCACAAGUGUGUUGAUGAGAUAAUAUUAUAGUAGGAGUACGGGAGGAGCUUGCAUUCAUUAUGUAGAGUAUUUUAUUUCUUUGAAUUUAAAUUCUCAACUCAAAUUUUCAACACAGUAGUUGUCAUUUAGUGCACAUGCAGACGUGCAAAUUGCAGUGUAGCUGUGCAGUCAAUUCAAGUUUCAAGAUUUGAAAAUUGUGAAAGUUGCAACUUGCAAGCGUGUUGCAAAUUUGAGUAGUUAUGUCGAUUUUAUUAUUUCGUGAUUGUAAAAUUUUAAAAUUAUGUACAGUGUAAUCAAUUAAAAAUUUGAAAAAUUAUGAAAGUUAACCGACAAUGAUGUUUAAAUAAUAAAAAAUUGGGAUAAUUGUGCAUUUGUUUUAAUAUUUUCAUUUAUUUUUUAAAUAAUUUAAGAUCUUUUUCCUACAUGCCACCCAAGCCUCACGGCUCCACAAAAAAUAAGAUCUCAAGAUUCAUUCAUUCACAAAUAUUUAUAUUUCACUAAAUAUUUUUUUACUUACUCUUUUUACUCCCACCUACAAAGUAAAUAAAAUUAAUUUUUGUCUUUUUAUUACUAUCUAAUAUUAUAUAUACACGCCAUUAUGCUAUGAUGCUUCACAAUUCUUAUUCUUCUUCUUUUUCCUCUCAAACUUUCCAAUAUUCUAAAAACCAAAAUCAUUAUCAAUCCACAACAACAUAAUAUGAAUGCAGAAGAACCUCAACACCCUCAAGAAUACAGUGUGGAUGUAGUUGGACCUCAACAAAACGCUAGGCUAAAUCAGUCCAGAAGUCGUUCUUUAAAUGAGUUUUUUCAAAAUUUUACUACAACAAGGGAGGAAAUAAUAGAUAAUAGUUUGCAUCGUCCUUACAAACGGAUGAUCUUGAGGUGCAACUAUUGUCAUCAAGAAGUUAUUUAUUCAGACAGCCAUGGCACCUUGGGUUUACGUCGGCACAUGUCAAAUUGUUUAGCUCGCCACCUUAGCCGAGAUAGAAUUAACCUUGCUCGUUUCCCGUAUACAUAGUUGUGAUUAAUAAAUAUUUUUUUCGUGCUUGUUAUUGUCAAUUGGUCGUAGUUGUAACUUGUAAGUUGUGACCUAUGAUUUGUUAUAUUGAUAUUUCGUAGUUAUGAUUUAUUGUAAUUAUUAUUCGAGGAUUGUUUUUUUAAUUUUAAUUAAUUAUUAUUAUUAUCUAUGGAAUUAAAUUAAAUUAAAUUUAUGUAUUGUUGUGUUAUGAUUGAUUAUUGUGAAAUAAAAUAUGUAGUUGUGAAAUUGUGAUAAACUAAUAAUAAAAUAUUAAUUGCCUCUUAAUAAAAAUUAAUAUGAUUAUGAUUAUGAAUAUUAUUAUUAUUAUUAUUAUAUUGGUGGGCUUAAAAAAACACGCCAGGCACAUGGGCUUUUUUAUGCACGCAAAAAAAAAAAAGUUGGUGGGCUUUUUUUGGGCACGGCCCACGGCACAUUACGAGCACGGUACGAACGGGUUCGUGCCGUGGGCCGUGCUGGGCUCAACUGAAAAAAAGAUGGGCCGUGCCGUGCCGGCCCACGAGCUCUUGUGGGCCGACAGUUGCCGGCACGGCCCAUUGGCCAUAGUUAAUGAUAUCUAAGAAUCUCAAGUAAACAUAUUGAAUAACAAAGAGUCAAAGUUUUCCUAGGCACUAUAUGUAAACAAUUUAAUGAAAGACACCGAAUCAAAUAUAAUCAUGUAUAAAUUUUAUAGAUCCAAGCGUAGAUUUAAUCGAAUAUCAAUCCUAACAACCAAUAAUGCAUGAUAGAAUUGGUGAAAAGAUUUAAUAACAUCCAAUUAAUCACGUGAAACAAAAAUCAUAAUCAUCAAAGAACAUAUAUAGGGAAUUAAUUAAAUGAAAAAAUAAUUAUUUCAUUGAAUAGAAUUUCAUCCUUAACCUCAGUAUAAGAAAAUUAGCUAGAAAUACUUGAAUUAGGAGCAACAAACGAAAUAAAAUCAGCCAUGGGAAGCCGAACUGCUGCAGCCAGUUUUCUCCCGAAUCGCGUCUGCUUUUUUUUUUUUCCUUCCUCUGGCGGCUGCCGUCCGUCUUCUCUUCUUUUUUCCGGGCGGCUACCCCCUAAUUCUUUUUAUACUGUAACGCCACCACAAAAUCCUCAAAUCAAAAGGAUUUUAAAACAAGCCAAGCACAACCAACUUUAAGCCCAUGCACGUGAAGCCCACUUGAAAUCAAUGGUCAAUGCUUUUCCAACUAUUCACGUGAGAUGCACACUUGGAAAGCCAAUUAUUCUCCUUUAAGCAUCUUUUUUCCUCUUUUCUUUUAUUCUUCACAAGCUAGCAAUUAUUUCCAUAAACUCUAUUUUGUUUCCUUUUUAAGCUCCCUUUCAUCAAUGGCUUCCACAAAUUGAUUUGAUCUUUAAUGCUGUCCAAUUAUUAUCCCUUAUGCACUUUUCAUCCAUAAUCUCCAAUUAAUUCCCUAAUCAAUAAAAAAAUUCAAUUAAUUAAAAAUAACAAAUAAAAAUAACUAGUAAUUAUGUAAUUAAGGAUAAAAUAUGUAUAUAUUAUAUGCUCAUCAUUCCAUUUGGGUGUAUUGGGGUUGUGGGUUUUGUGAGUUUUUCCCACUUUUGUAAAUUCUCAUUAUUAGUAAAAUUAUCUUUCAUUCUUUUCCCGUGCACAUAGGCAUUACACUGAACCACGUAAAUUAUUGUGUUCUAUUUUCUUUACAUUUAUUUGUCACAUUUAUAUUUCUCCAAAAGUUACAGUCAUCGUAAUAUUGGUAAUUGUUCAACCUCGCACUUCCGCAACACCAUCCUUACACUAUUAACAGAGAGAGAGAGAGAGUAAAGUAUCCCAAAAUGUAGAGAGCUUAAGAUUUAACUCUUUGAUAGAGAGUGCAGAGAAACGGAGUACUUACAAGUGAGUUCUUAAAAAGUUUGGAGAGUGUUCUCUUGAGUGUUCAGUUGAGAUCUAUAUUAUUUGUAGGGAUGCGAGAGAUUGUUUCCUUCAAGAGCGUUGAGAGUACUAAAUGUAUUUAAGUAUUUGGAAAAUAAGGUUUAAUUACUCAAAUUUAUACUCUAUUAAUUGUUAAUAAAAUAAUUACUCUCUCUUUGCCUCCUUGGAUGUUGGUAUCGUUGCCAAAUCAGGUUAAAGACAAGUGUCUUUAUCUUUUGUAAAUUAUUUAGUGCCUAUUGAUUGCACAUCUGCGCAUAAGUGGCAUUGAACUGCAACAAAUGACACUUUUGCACACAACACCACAUUGGAUACGUCACCGAGCAAGUUACCAGCAACUCGCAUCUUAUGAACCUAAUUUACAUGUGAAUAUAAAUGAGCAUGGCAUUGGCAUGUUACUAAAGAUAUUGUACAUAAAUCUACUAUUCUUAAUACCAACUAAAUAUUGGUCGUGUAUCAUUGUGCACAAAACUUUUAGGCAACAGCGAAGUCAGAUAACAGCGUAGUUAGAUAUUCAAUAUAGUUGGAGUUAUGUUCAAACAACAAUAUGAUUUAAAAAAUUUUAGUAAGUACUAAAAUUCUAAAUUGGCUUUACUGAAAUAAUAUAAUUCAGUUGCUCGUAGGCGAACGUGCUGAAAAGAAAUAAUAGAGACCUUAAAGAGAAAGUUAAGUAACUGAAACGAGAUUGCUUUCACGUUCAAACGAUGGGCCUUUAAAGGUCAAGGUUUUAGAAUCUAAGGCUUAUAGUAGAACUCAGAACACUAAGAAGUUGGAGAAUUUUUAGUAAGACGUACAACAUCACUUUCCAGCUAUUCGAGUACCAUAGACAAAGCAUGUCACUAUCACAAGCAUAUACUUAGAGGGUGAUACUAAGUUGUGGCAAUGGGGUAGGCUUUAACAGGAUACUGAAGCAUACAUCGAUUGGCAAUUGAAAAAUAGGACACACUUAAAGGAGAAGUAAAUGGUCAGUUCUUAUGCAGGAAUGGUAUUUGGCUUGAAGGGAAGAGCUUGAAAAAGCUAAAGCACAUCGGCUCAGUGAGAGAAUACGUUAAAGAGUUUAUUUCAUUGAUGUUGGACAUCAAGAACAUAUAAAGUGAGGGCAAGCUCUUCAAUUUUAUAUUAGUAUACACUAAUAGGCUUAAACGAAAUUACAGAAGCAGGCUGUAAGGUACUUACCAACGGCAAUUCCAGCUGCUGAUAGCUUGGUGCAUUUUAGACCCAUGAAUACUUAUCCUUUUGAAUAUAAGAAAUCCAAAGAUAACAAGAAAGGCAACACUUUGUGUGAUAGUGGGAUGAAGAAUGGCAACCACAUCAAAGCCAAGUAAAGGAACUGCAAGACAAAAAGGGUUCAGGGUACUUCAUUUGCGACUGACCACAUCGGGCAAAAGAUUAUCUAAACCCUGAGAUGCUUAAUGCUUUGGUUAAGGAAACAGAAGGGGAUUCUUUGAAACUUUCAGCUGCCAAAUUAGACGCAACACGCAUAAAUCCAUUACAACUAUUAAACAACAUGGAUGUCAAGGUGAAGGAGGUACUUGUAAAUGAAAAGAAGCUAAAAAGUGUCUUGAUGGGUAAAUCCUAAUUAGGUAGACUGAUUUGUGUAGUAAUGAUGGUUAAUAGAGUAGAAAUAAGGGCAAUAAUAGACAUAGGGUGGAAUGGUGAAACAUGUAAAGGCGAAUUUGAUACCACAUCUUGGACUGCAAAUUGCUAGAGCUAACAUUGACGUGAGUUUUGCUUUUAAUAAUCAAGUAGUUCCAGAGGAUAUAGUAGUAGCCAACCUAAGUAUGGGAACUUGGGCACUAGAUGCUAGGUUUGUAAUUAUAUGAUCGACGAUAUUUGUUGGAAUUUUCGGAAUAGAGUUCUUAUACAAUUCAGAGGUACAUUUACUAUCUCGCUUAUUAUGCAUUUAGAUUAGGAGCAUGAAAGAGUCGUGCACAGUCAAAUGUGAGUUUAAAAGUUUCAGUAAGUUGGGACCACCAUCCCAAUUUACCAUAACUGGUGUAAAUUGAGGGAAUUUCGUGAUCAUGUCCAUAGUUAUGGAGCACCUUCAAUUUAAGAAGGGAAUUGAUGGGUAUACCAAGGUGUUCAAGAAUGUGGAAGACUUUCAGAAAAGUACCGACUGUGGUAUACCAAUGUCAUUCGAGCUAAAAUGGCGGUAAAAGGGCAUAGAAGUGUGGCGAACAUUUUAAGGCAGCAAGCAAAAAUUUAGUAAGAGUUUCAUUGAUGGCUUUUUGGUUCUUAUUGGUGCCUAUUAGAGGUAACGACAUUGUUCCUCAUUUAUUAGUGUGCAAUUAGGUGGAGUGAGCGUCAGAUAUUUGGCGAGAAAGUUUAGUAUGGUGACCUGAAGUGGAUAAAGACAUAUGUAGCCCUAGAAUUUAUGAAAACUUUUGAUGUUCUUAGCGAAAUCGAAACAAAAGUUGAGCUUUAUUGUGCAAUUUCCAAGAAAAGCAAGCAGGAGCUUUUACGAUUAACAGAUGAAGAAACUAUUAGUCUAAAAUCAUUUAAUAGGUAGUAAAUAGUUCCAUAUAUGUAAAACAUUAGAGGGACUUAACAAUGGCAAAUCGGGUGAAUAGUGAGCCAAAUGUUGACAUAGGGAUGUUUGUCAAAGAGAAGGAAAUAUAAGCUUUACUAUGGCAAUAUGAGGGAGAGGUUAUGGUAGACUUAUUACCUUAUCAACGAGGACAUCAAGUUUUCUGGUUAAAGAGGUUUGUCACUGCUAUAAAUCAUUAUGGCUUAUGCCAAGACUUAGCUUGUGGCCUUGUGCCAAGCCGCUGGCAGCAUUAUGGGCAUACUUGUAGGCGUGAACGAAAGUAACACUAGACUGGACUGCGAACUAGGGCGCGACAUCAAGCACAUGCUCCAAGACAAGUGCGGGGAGUGCGAGACAGUGCUCGCAAGGAUGUGUGCUACCAUCUAUAUAAAUGUAGAGGCAUGGGAUGUAUAGAGCACACCUAUAGGCUAAGUUGGGCAGAAUACAGGAUGGCACAAUGCAGUUGUGCUCAGGCUAAAUAGGCAACGCGUACGUUGGUCGGCAGCAGGUGCAAAAGCAUCCAAGGCAGUACGUAAAUGCGCAACGUGCAACAUAUAGAUAUAUACAUGGGAGUCAAACUAUAUAAAUAUGAGAGACAUUUGGAUUAUACAUGUGGCCUAUAUUUGGGCAAUAGCAAUCGAACACUGAGCAUAUUGGCUAGAAAAUUUCCAAGAAUGAGUCUUAGAAACAAAAAUGAGUGAGAUUUUUUGUGCAACGAACAAAAGACAUGGCCUUCAAAUUCAUUCCUAAAACCAUGUAGACAAGAGAAGUAGACAGUGGCGAUUAUUCAUUAUUUCCUUGCUUCUAGUGUAGUGGGCAGCGGUUGCCUAAUCCUUAAAGGAAUAGCGAUGUGAUUCCUAGAAUCAUGCUUAAUAAUGCCUAGUCUGGGGGGGAGGAAAUGAGGUGGCAUAAGGACAGCAAGCCACCUCGCCUUGACAAAAAGUGGUGUCAUAUGUAACAUGUAUAUAUAGUGAGAGUGCGUGUGUGUUUUGGGAGAUCUAAAUUUUAGUAAAAUGAGUGGUCCUUAAGCACACAAAGCUUAGAGCUAUUUCAUAAUUUUUCUUAUUAUAGGAAUUGAAAAGUUAGGGAUCAGUGCCUCCAUAAAAAGCAAUAUUGUGUGUUCUUGUUAUUUUUAUUCCUUUUUCUAUUGUUGGUUUGGUUUAUCUCUUGUGAUAACCUCUAUUAUGGGCCUUUUGGGUUGCUUUCAUUAACGUUGUUGAGUGAUUGGCUAAGUGGGGGCUUAGCACCAUCACACAAGUUGUCAUGUCUUCAAACAAAACCAAGUGACAACUAGUAUCAGAGCAAAUGUUGCUUCAGUUGUUAGAACAAUUAGUGUUAGAGUAAAGAUUGCAUUAGUUGUUUGGACAACUAAUAUCAGAGCAUAGUUUGUUCCAGUUGGUAGAACAAUUUGGUAUCAAAGCAACAAUUACGAAGCAGGGUUGCAUCAAUGUUGGUGACAAAUGAUUUCAAGGCUCGAUUAAAAUCAGUUCAAGGAUAAUUGAUUGUGUGAUUUUAGGGAAGCUACGAUGCAUGAGCUAGAUUGUGUAAUUUAUAGGGAAUUUAACAAUGGUACAUGAAUUGUGUGACUAGCGACUAAAACCAGCAUGGCAGGAGAAUCAAUAAAGGAUGACUUAGAUGAUUGGACGCUAUUGUGGGUACUUUGUAGCCGUACUUGUAGAGUUUGGCUAAGAACACAAAAAUCAACUCAAUUAAGAUGGCAAGUAUGCAAAAAACUUGCAAGGAGUUUGGAAAUGAUUUCAUGAAGACGCUUAACAAGGUGAUGAAAAAUAUUGUUCAUAAGCGAAGGUGCUGAAAAUCAAUAUUAUAGAACUUGAAGAGAAAGCUGGGUUACUGAAACGCACAGUAGGCAAUGCUUCAGAUUCUAAAGAUGGGCCUUUGAAGGUCAAGGUUUCAGAACCUAAGGCUUAUAGUAGAACUCAGAACGCUAGGGAAUUGGAGAAUUUUCUGUGAGAUGUGGAUUAGUGCUUUCUAGCUGCUCGAGUAUCAGAGAUGGAGCAUGUCACUAUCACGAGCAUGCACUUAGAAGGUAAUGCUAAGUUGUGGUAGCGGAGUAGGCUUCAAGAGGAUGUCGAAGCACAUAGUGAUCGGUAAUCGAAACAUAGGACACAUUAAUGCAAGAAUCGAAGGGUCAGUUCUAAUGGGAAAUCCUGGUUGGAUGAAGACAGAAAUCUUUAAAGAGCUGAAGCAUGCCAAAGAUUUUAUUUAAUUGAUGUUGGACAUCAAGAGCAUGUCAGAUGAGGACAAACUUUUCAAUUUUAUAUUGAGACUGCAACCAUGGCCUCAAUCAAAAUUGUGGAAGCAAGCUGUGAGGGACUUGUCGAUGGCAAUUAUAGCUAUUGAUAGUUUAGUGGAUUUUAGAUUCAUGAACACUUCUCCUUCUGAAUUUAAGAAAUCAAAAGAUUGCAAGAAAGAAAAUUCUUAGCAUGAUGGUGGGAAGAAGAAUGGCAGGAAAAACAAAGUCAAGCCAUGAAAUCUACAAGAAUAGAAGAGCUUGGGGUACCUCAUUUGCAAUGGACCACGUCAGGAAAGGAUUGUCCAAAGCACGAGAAACUGAAUGAUUUCGUGAACAAAACAAAAGGAGAGUGUACAAAACCUUCAGUGGCCGAAGUAUGUGCAACACAAAAGAAUCUGUUACAAUUGUUGAACAACAUGGAUAUCCACUAAAGUAUUAUUUUUUCUUACAAUAUGUUCAAUUUUUUCUUUAUAUCCUCUACCUAUUAUUACUUCUAAGAAAUAUAUCCAUCUUUUACUAAUAAAACAAUUUUUCUUCUCAAAAUUCUUCUUUUGUACUUUUUUUUAUAAAAUUCUAUAAUUUUAUUACAAUCUGUUCUUACUGUAAAUGUGUCACUUUGUAUAUACAAAUGAAAUGAGUUUAAAGAAUUUAUUAUUCACAGAUUCUCCAAUUCUGUACAUGACUUUCUACUUUCUAUUUCUGUAAAUUUUCUACUAGUAUACGUUGUUAUUUCUUCUUUCUCUUUUGACCUAUCUUCAUUGGGCUUUUGUAUUAGUAUUCUUGUCCAUUCUAAACUACUUGCAUUAGUUUAUAUAAUUUUAUAAUUAUUGUUUAUAGGCAAUGCUAAUGGCUUAAGAUUCCUAACUAUUCCUUUUAAGUUUUUGUAUUAAUUUUGUAUCUUCUCUGGUAAAACAUUUCUAUCCAUUUUUACUUAACUUAUUAUAUAAAGGUUUUAUUAAUGUAUUAAGAUUUGGUAUAAAUUUCCUACUACAAUUUAAUAAUCCUAAGAAUUUUUGUAGUUCUGUAAUAUCUUCUAUUUUAUUAGGAAAUUCUAAUAUUUUACUAACUAUAUGUGGUUGUAAUUCUAUAGUUCCUCUAUCUAUUGUUAGUCCAAAUUUAUUUUGUUUUAAUAAUUCAAUUUUCUUUUUAGAAAUUACUAUAUUAUUAUUCUUAAAACAAUCUAAAUUUUUAUGUAGGUGAGUUAUGUGCAAGAACUUGUUAUGACUAAAAACAAGAAUAUCAUUCAUAUAAACUAUACAAAAUUUUGUAAAGGGUUUCAGUAUUUUAUCUAUUCUACCUUAAAAAACUUGUGGUGCAUUUUUUAAUCCAAAUGACAUUACUAACCGUUCAAAGUGUCCUUUAGAACAACUAAAAGUUGUCCAUUGAACAAAUUCUUCAUGGAGUCAUAUUUGCCAAAAACCACUUUUACAAUCAAAUUUAGAAAAAUAUCUAGUAUUUGGUAUACAAUUUACUAGCUCAUCUUUAUUAGGUACUUUAUAACUAUUGUCUAAAGUAUUGUCGUUUAAUCUUUUAUAAUUAAUUACCAUUCUAUUCUUACCUCUUUUUUGUUCACUAUGAUUAUUUACAAUAAAUAUUGAACUUCUAUGUCUACUUGUAUUAUUUCUUAUUACUAUUAUUUCUAAUAAUUCAUUUAUAUGCAUUUUAAAUUCAUUUUGUAUCUUUAAGCUAUAAGCUAAAUUAUGUGUUUUUAUUGUUAUAUUUGGAUUAAUAAUUUAGAAUUUAUAUACUUCUUUAUUAUCUUUUCUAAUUGUGUUGUUGCCUAUUAUUUUUAAUGUUUCUUACUCUUCUACUUUUUUUUAUUAUGUCUACAGCCCAUUUUUCACAUUUUAAACAUUUUACUUCUUUUUCUAUACUCAUAACAUUUUCUAAAUACUUGUCUAUCUCUUCAUCGUCUAAAAUUUCUACUUCAGUACUUUCUAACUUAUUAUACACGUGCAUGUGUCACUUUCUAAUUCUAUCUUACUAUUGUCUGUUAGCUCUUUAGUAUGUUCUACUUUGCUAUCUUUUUCUUCUUCUUNNNNNNNNNNNNNNNNNNNNNNNNNNNNNNNNNNNNNNNNNNNNNNNNNNNNNNNNNNNNNNNNNNNNNNNNNNNNNNNNNNNNNNNNNNNNNNNNNNNNGUUUCUUAGAAUGUAUAGCAAAUAUACCUAUUAGAAUAAAUGGAGAAACACACAUUUUACCACAAACUUUUAUUUCUAAUAGGAAAGUAGGAUAUACAUUUAUUAAUGGAUUAAACUUUAUAUCAGGAAAUAAUAGCAGUAUAUAAAUAACUCAAAAUGGAGUUAAUUUCUUAAAAAAAUCAAAAUUUAUUCAACCCAAAUAUGAAACACACAUUUUGUCCUAUGAAAAAGAAGACUUUAAUGCUAGGAAAAGAAGUAGAUAUAGAAUUCUUUGAUGUUUUAUUAGAAGAAUAAAAAGAUAGCAAAGUAGAAAGUACUAAAGAGCUAGCAGACGAUAGUAAGUUAGAAUUAGAAAGUGACAUAUGCACAUGAAUAAGAAGUUAGAAAGUACUAAAGUAGAAAUUGUAUACGAUGAAGAGAUAGACAACGAUUUAGAAGAUGUUAUGAGUAUAGAAAAAGAAGUAGAAUGUUUAGAAUGUGAAAAAUGGCUUGCAGACAUUAGAAAAAAAGUAGAAGAGUUAGAAAAAUUAGAAAUAAUAGGCAAGAAUCUAAUUAGAAAUAUAAAAAGAACUAUAUAAAUUAGAGAUUAUUAUUCCGAAUAUAACAAUAAAAACACGGGAUUUAGCUUAUAGCUUAGAAGAUAGAAAUGAAUUUAAAAUGCGCAUAAAUGAAUUAUUAGAAUUAAAAGUAAUGAGAAAUAGUACAAGUAGACAUAGAAGUACAACAUUUAUUGUAAAUAAUUAUAACAAAAAAGAGGUAAGAGUAGAAUGGUAAUUAAUUAUAAAAGAUUCAACGAUUAUACUUUAGACAAUAGUUAUAAGAUACCUAAUAAAGAUGAGCUAGUAAACUGUAUACAAAUGCUAAAUGUUCACAAGGACAUUUUGAACGGUUAGUGCUGCCUUUUGGAUUAAAAAAUGUAGCUCAAAUUUUUCAAGCAAGAACGGAUAAAAUAUUAAAACAUUUUUCAUAAUUUUGUAUAGUUUAUAUAGAUGAUAUUUGUUUUUAGUCAUAAUAAGUUCAUGCACGUAACUCGCUCACAUAAAAUUUUAUAUAGUAAUUUCUAAAAAGAAAAUUGAAUUAUUAAAACAAAAAAUAGAUUUUUUAGGACUAACAAUUGACAGAGGAACUAUAGAAUUACAUCCACAUAUAUUUAGUAAAAUGUUAGAAUUUUCUGCUAAAAUAGAAGAUACUGAAGAACUAUAAAAAUUCUUAGGAUUAUUAAAUUAUAGUUAGAAAUUUAUAUCGAACCUUAGUACACUAACAAGACCUUUAUAUAAUAAGUUAAGUAAAAAUGGAGAGAAAUAUUUUAACAGUGAAGAUAUAAAAUUAGUACAAACUCUUAAAGGAAUAGUUAGGAAUCUUAAGCCAUUAGCAUUAUCUAUAGACAGUUAUUAUAAAAUUAUACAAUUUGAUGCAAGUAGUUUAGAAUGGACAGGAAUACUAAUACAAAAGCCCAAUAAAGAUAGCUCAAAAGAGAAAGAAGAAAUAAAAAUGUGUAGUAGUCAAAAUUUUAUAGAAAUAGAAAGUACAAAGUCAAGUACAUAAUUAAAAAUUCUAAGAAUAAUAAAUUUUUUAAUCUCGUUACAUUUGUAUAUACAAAAUGAUAUAUUUACAAUAAGAACAGAUUAUAAUAAUAUUAUAAAAUUUUAUAAAAAAAGUACAAAAGAACAAUUUUUGAGAAGAAAAUUUCUUUUAUUAGUAAAAGAUGGAUAUAUUUCUUAGAAGAAAUAACAAGUAGAGAAUAUAAAGCAAACUUUGAACAUAUAGUAGGAAAAUAUAAUAUUUUAGCUGAUAUUCUUUCAAGACUAAUUAUUCAAUAAUUAUUUUAUAGGAAUGGAGUGAUAUAUGAAUUUUGGUCCAACGGCACUUAGAGAGUCCCUUCAUGAACAAAUUUAAGGUUUAGAAGUAAAUAUCAAUUAUUGGACAAUCAACAAUCCAUCUUAGAUAAUUUGUAGAAUUGUAAUAACCUAAAAGAUAAAUUUAAAGUAGCCAAUGCACUCUUGCAUUACUUUAAACAGAUUAAUAAGCAUGUAGAAACUAAUCGUUUUGCAUUUUUCAUAUUAGUCAGAGGUAGACAACUAGGCAUUUAUAGUCAGUCGAGAGAGAUAGUUGAUCUAACAAUCAAUUAUCCUGAUCCAUACUAUGGAGGUUUUUAUAUAUUUCAUGAAGAAAUAGAAUUUGCUAGACAAAAGAUAGGACCAAAUACAAUGUUAGAUAUUUAAUUAACCUUUUAACAGUGCAUCAACAUCAUCAAACAUAUAAUUAAAUAAUUCUUUAGACAGUGCAUCAUCAUUAUCAUCAUCAUCUAUACAGAUUUGCAACCAUUGUGAAAUUAUGACACACACAGUUAGAAAACUUAAUGAUACUAGACAUCAUCUAGACGGUGUAAAUGAAAAAUGUAAACAAAAAAUGAUUGCAUUAGAAAGUGAAGAUAAAGAGUUAAUUGGACAGAAUAUUAAAUUACCAAAUAAAUAUCAUAUUCUACUAUUGGAUCACCAAAAAACCCAAAAACAAAAACAACUACUGAAACAUUAUUUAAUCAUAUCCUACCAGGAUAAUUAAUAAAAAUCCACCAUAUUUCUUCCUUCCUUGGUGGCAGCAUAGACAUUGUAAAAGAAAAAAUAGUAGAAAAUCUAUACCAAGACUUUGUUUCUUUAGCCAACCAAUUAUUUUAUAGUCAGUUAAAUUUCUUAAUCUAAUUUGUACUUAGAUGGUCAGAAUUAAGGAAUAUUACCCCUCUUGGACAUGAUUUGUCUAUAAUUUCCUUUGAUUAUUCUUUAGCCAAAACCCUAGACAAUGAAGAUUUAUUAUUAAAGGCUAUCAGUUUUGGUCUAAAUUGCAUUUUAUAAUAUGUGGAAUUCAAUCUUGGAGAAUAAAAUACUUUUGUUGCACCACUUCCAUAAACAACUACUUCAUCCUGUGAUUCGGAUUGACGAAGCAAGACAUUCACAAAGUAAGCACCAUAGAGAUGUGCUGAGACAAAGGUUAUAGGGAAUUUUAGCUGCUUCUACAGUUCUACUGCCCUUCUUACCAUUCGUUUUUUCCUCCAAGUAAGCUUCAAAAGGAGGCAGAGGCCUUACCCUGUCUCUUCACAUCCAAACUCAGAUGGAAGAAACCUCCAGCAACCAAAACAUAGUAUGUUUAAGAUCUGUUCUAUAUAAACAAAUUUGAAGUAAUUCAGCACUGAAUUGUAAAAAGACACUAAAAUGUUACAAAGACGCAAAUACUAAAUUAGAGUUUGUGAUUUUAGGUAUUUUGCUAAUUUACUAGCCCUCGUAUAUAUUUUUACAUCUUUUUUAGAUAACUACAAUUACUUAGCUUAAAUCUACAUUUAGAAAGUGUGGAAAUCCACAUUUAAAAGUUCAUAAUAUUUUCCAUUUACUAGACAAACUAUAUUAAAAUUUCUGAAAAAAAAAACAAACGAUCUAUUUUAUUUUUCAGAAAGAAAGAGCUCAAUCAAGUACCUUGAUGUUGCCAGCAACUUUGAUGGCAUCAUCAAUUUUCAGUUGAUCACGAAACUGAGGAUAAGCUACAGUUGAUAUCACCACAUCUACUUCUUUAAAUAUAGAUACAAUUUUUUUCUCGUGCUCGCCUAGCUCUCCCUGUUUUAAUUUCAACAGUAUUAUUGUUAAUACUUAAGCUUACAAAUAAUAUUGAAGAUUCUAAUUAGAUUAACACAAAAUUAAUUUCAUAAAAAGAAGUAUAAGAGAUCAUUCUACGCGCACUUAAAAAAGAAAAAAAAAAAGAUCAAGAAAACAAAAGGAGAUCGAGAUGAUUGAGUGAUGAAGUUACCUCAAUAAUUGCGACACCAAUAUCCUGAAAUUCCUUAUAGAUUUCAAGCUUGGAGGGACUUGAAUUUUUUUUUUUGAACCGGUCGAGCAUAAGCAUAAGCUUUGUGACCAGAAAAUACACUUGCUUUCACCAUAUAUUUGCCGAAGUAUCCGGUACCCCCAAAGCUUGCGUUCUCACCUUCCAUUUCUUCCUUUUACUUCGAUUUAUCUUUCAUAUUCCCUUCUCUUGUUGCGUACAUUUAUAUAUAUGAUAGCACAAAAGAGCUCAUUGCAUUUUUGUCAUGAUAAUAAAAAAUAAAAAAAAUUGGCAUUUUUGUUCUUUUUUUUACUAGAAACGCAAUGAAUUGAACAUUUAUAAUUAGUAAAAGAAUAAGUGCGACUUCACAGUUUAUGGAGUUUUUCAUUGCAAUCAUGUUGAUGUUCAUAAUGUUAAAAUUAAUGGAGCUAUUUCAGCAUGUUGAAAAUCCGAAAAUUGCAUCCAUCAUGUAGUACUUGUGUCAUGUCAUUGAGUUUUGUUCUCUUAUCUUUUUUAUUUUAAUAUAUUACUUGUUUGACAUAUUGCCUGUGGAGAUAUUUCUCAGGUGAAAUCAUAAUUUAGUUUUUUUUUAAAUAAUUUAAAUAUGUGAUAUAUAGUAUUUUUAGGCCUUGUUUGAGAUUGAGGUUGAAAUUCAGUAACUUGCUUAUUUGAUAAUGGUGGCAAAAAUAUUAUUUGAUAAAUUUUGUAAAAACUACUUAUUUCACAAUUUCUCCAUCUUGAAAGUGGCUUUUAAACGCAGGUACGGGUUGUCUUUCAUAAUCAGUUUAUUAUAUAAGCUACCACAAUUUUUUAAAUUUCCUAUUAUAACCUUAAAAUUUAAAAGAAUAACUAUCUCUUAUUUUUUCAUACACCCUGAUAUAUAAGCCAUAAUAUCAUAUUAUCACCACAACAAAUUAUAAAGCUAUUGUGCAUUCUCUUCAGUAUCAAAAUUUUGACCCAACAAGUUCAUUGGAUUUUAUUUAAUUGAGAUUUUUUUUUCUUUAUGUAAUUUUAUGUGUUUUAAAAAGAAAAAGAUAUGUCUAAACAUUAUUAAAUAUACUCCAGAAAAAUAAAAGGUAAUUUAAACUUAUAUCUAUUUUGGUCAUUAUAUAAUAAAACAAUACGUCUGUAAUCAAAUUUACUGAACGCAUGUACAUUGCUUUUUAAACUCAAACUCACAACAACUACAACAAUAAAGUUUAUCAAAUACUAUACUGCUUUUUUAAUCAACAACUUAUUAUAUCUAGACAGCAAGAGUAUCUUAUUUAAUCAACGGCCACAAUACCAAACUAGUCCUUAGUCUAAUGAUAACUCAGUCUCUUCUCCAUUCAUGUGAGCAGACAUCAAACAUUAAAACUCUUAUUUUCAAUUCAAGAGGUUUUACUAUUUCAAUUAGAUGAUACCAUCUCAAAUUUAUGACAAUAUUAUCUUAACAGCAAGUAGAUCUUAUAAAUGAUCUUAACAGCAAGUAGUUCCUAUAAAUGAAAAAUGAACAGUGUCUUUUCUUCUAUGCAUCCAGCAAGUAGCAAGGCAAUGAGUCAUUUUUAUGCAUAUUCAGAUUCUCGCACGCAUAAUGCAAUGGUCUCACAUGAAUAAUACAAUGGUUUAUUCACAAAUGAUGAUAGGUCCCUUGUCUGCUUUUUAGAUAUAUUUUUCUUUCAUUUUUAUUCAUAAAUAGGUAUCAAAAUCUUCAUUUGAUCUGGAAAAAAAUAUACGGAUAUAUUUUUAUUUAAAAGAUGGUCACAUAAUCUUUUUUGUAGGAUAAUUAUAUUCUUUAACUUUCAUGAUCUAAUUGUAUUUUAUCCAGACUUAAUAAAAAAAAUCUAUAUAACUAUUUUUGAAAACAAGAUCUUUAUAACAUAUUUGGAUUCAAUGUUGCUAACCUUCUAGAAAAAAAAACAAUUGAUAGUUAUUGCAUAAUAAUAUAAAACUAAUUAAAUCUUAAUCAUAUAUAAUUAUAUAUACAUGCACAUGUGACAAAAGAUUAUGAAGAAUUGAAUACAAUUUAGCUGAGUAGUGGAUUCCAAUCCCUUCAUAACUAUUUCUCCAAACCACAAGAAUAUUGCAACUAUUUUUCUUUUUUUCUUUUUAUUAUAUUUUCCAUUUAGUAACAACUAAGUAACUGUACAUUCUAAUGAACACACCUGAAGGAUGUAAAUUUGAGAAAUCAAUGAAAAUAGCUAUAAAAAGUUUAGGAUUUUUUAAAUUUGACCCCUCAAAAUUUUUCCUAUCAUAACUAGCCAAAUGCUAAUUUUUUUUAAUCAAAUAGUCCUCAUUACUUUCAAUAACUUUACCAAAUAGUCCUCUCCAUCAACUGAACCUUUCCCACCAUUCCUCACCGCCGAUCGACGCUCAAACCACCGGAAACUGAAGCCCUUCAAAACCGCUAGCUUUAUCUACAAUUUCCGGCCAAAACACCACUUUUUCAGACAAACCACCACCACCAUCAUACUUACCAACCCAAAAUUUUUCAGAUCCACCCAUCCUUACUCGAUUUCCGACCACCGUCAUCGGAAAUCUAAAACUUUUGCUUAAUUACAGUUUCGGCCUAAAAUUUUUAUUUACUUUCAGUUUAGCCCCACUACCUUUUUAAACUCGAAUUUGAAAAAAUGCCCCCAAGAAAAGUUCGUGAUGCUCAUAUUGCAACUUACAAUCAAGAAGAUGUUUCGAAAGAUGAAGCCCUGGCUAGUAUGACAGCCAGAAUUGAUAUGUUAGCUGCACAAAUGGCACGAAUGGCAGAGUUACUUGACGAACGCCAUCGUACUCCAGAACGUGAAGAAAAAUCAAGUGGAAGUUUUGCUAACCCAUUCUCUGGGCGUUGACCUAGAACUGAGUCUACUGAUGACAGAAGAUAGGAAUCUGGGUUGAGAAUUGACAUUCCUGAAUUUCAAGGAAGUGGUCGACUUGAAGAAUUAUUGGAUUGGAUUAACGCCAUUGAGGAAGUUUUCGAAUACAAAGAAGUUCCUGAAAAUAAACUAGUUUCGCUUGUUGCAACUCUAUUUCGUGGAAGAGCAGCAGCUUGGUGGCAACAAAUUAAGCUCACAAGGAUUAGGCAAGGCAAAAAGAAGAUUGAUUCUUAGGAAAAGUUCAAAAAGCACUUGCGUGGAGCAUGUUGUGCAAAUUUUAUUGAACUUGCAAGUGCACGAAUCUAUUGUAGAAUAGAUUAAUGGAGACGAGUGUCGAUCCCACGAGGAGGUGAAUUUUAAUUAUAUGUAGAAUUAAUUUUGUAUGAGGGUGGUUGGAUUUGUGGUGAAAGUGACUUAAAUUAUCUUAAAAUUAGAAUUGAAAUGGCGAGAAUAAAUUCUAAAAUUGGAAUUGAAAUGGCGAGAAUAAAUUGAAGAGAAAUCUAUUGAGAUGACGUACUUGGAUAUUUGGAUCCGUAUCAACAUGCACCAUGGGCUAAAUAUUCCUUAUUAAUACCAAUUAAAUCAUGAGAGGGGAAUCCACACCUCAUGAACCACACUCUAAUCAAUAUGGUGCUAAGGGCUUAUCGUGCCAAAUAAUAAUAACCUUGUACUAGGGGGCCGGUGAAACCAAGGCGGUACUAGACAAGCUUAUUAUUAUUUGUCGACGAGAAGUCAAAACAUCCACAAAAACUAGAGGGGAAGAGAAAUAAAUUUACCAAAUAAAACCCAUGACAUAUGUUGAGACUUCACCUUCAACCAAAGCUUGAAAGAAAAUUAGCCACUCAUAAUUGAACUAGGGGCAAAAUGGAAAUUUAUUAAAAUAUGUAGAAAAUACAAGAUGGAGAAGGAAUUACAGAAAAUGGAUUCAGAGAUAUCAAAUUAGGGGGGAGAAGCCCUAUUUUUAUAGAUACAUGGAGUAAAUCAUGGCCAUUGGAUUAAAAACAGUUUGGACGCUCAGGAUUGCGCCACAUCAUCAGUCAACAGUACGCGGUUUGACCACGCAGAUGAACAGAAACACGGUUUGACCCGGGUUGAACAGUAACGCGGUUUGGUUGAAAAUAAUCCUGUGUGAUGCAUGUACCGUACGCGAGAUUUUUCGUCCACUGAUAUGCUGCCACGUCACCAUCAACAGUACAUAAGAAUUUUAGCCCAACAGGAUCGUGACACCUCAUCAGUCAAUGCCACAUCAUCGAUCAAUGCCACGUCAUCGAUCCGUUUAUGUGAACAUGUCAUGAACAGUAACGUAGACAAUACCGUGCACGUGAAUAGUACCGUACACGUGAAUAGUGCCAUUUUUUCUUUUAUGCUCCUUUUAAGGUUUUCGACCGUCUGAGUUCAAAAGUGAUGUCUGUUUUGCCGUCUGAUCUCUCGUUUAUUGUGAAAUGACCAUGAUGCCCCUAAAAUACAUAAAAUACUUAAUUAAAAUAAAACACACAUAAUUAAAUUACAAGAAGCUUAAAUACAUAAAAGUAAGGGUUGUUAGUAAGACUUGAAAUGUAAAAUGACGAUUUUCUCCUUUAUAAAUAUGCAUUUUCUAACACUCAACACACCCCCCAACCAGCUUAUUGCUAGUCCCUAGCAAAUAAAGCGAAAACAAAAUUCAAAUCCAAAAUGAUUUUUUUUUUAAUAGAAACACUCAUGUUUAUUCAAUCAGAUUAAUGAUAGCAAUCAAAUAAAACUAUAAGUAUUAUCUCCAGUCUAAAGAAACAUCACACCCACAUCAACCAUCCACAUGAAUCAGCCCAGUAGACUUUGUUAUAGCUACUUUCAAGAAUGACAUGUCAAACCCCAAAAUCUCACUGGAAGUAGUGACACUCUCACAAAGAAAUUAAACCCAAUAAAAAUAGUCACUCCAAUGAAUGGUAAUUGAGAGAAAAUAAUAAAGAAGUGAUAUCACAUGCUCUCACCAAGAUGAAAGAAAUAUGCCCUCAGCUUAGAAAUAAUACGAUCUCAAGUCAAACAAAAAUGCUAGUCAACCCAUUUUAUUUAUCUCCUUUUUUUUUAUAUUAUUAUGUACCACUACAUCUUUUUAGCCCAUAUAACUAGCUUCUACUUCAAACUAUAGUUCCCUAAAAUCAAGGACUUUUAUUAAGACGUAACGUAGGCUAGGGACAUGGUUAACACAGAAGGGAAAUAAGGAAAAUAAAGUGUAUGUUUGAGAAAAAUGCAAAGAAUUUUUUUUUUUUUAAAGUUGCAAGGUGUAUUUCACCUAUUGUUGUUAUUUUUAUUCUUUUGAAACAACAACUUUUGUUUUGUUUUUUUGUUUUUUUUUUUGCUUUUAUUUGGCAUAACUUCACUAAACAAAAUAAUUAUUUACAUUUUCUCAAACAUAAAUAAGUGAUGGAACUUAUAAGACAUCGGAUAAUACUCCAAAUCGGAGUGGGUCAAGAUGAUAAGUUGACAAAAAAAAGGUUUUUUUUUAAAAGCUCAAAAGGGUUAACUAUGGAUAUUUAAUAAAAGGGAUGGUUAGAAAGGCUCAAACGGAUCAAAGAUGGCCUUUCCAUCGUCUUUUAGGGCUCUAAAUAAUCAUCCAUAUCUACUAGUUAGAUGGGCCUCCCAAUGUAGCAACACACAUUUUUUUUUUUAUUUUAUAAUUUUUUUUUAGGGUUAACUCAAAAGAAAUCUAGAGAUCGUGUAUAAAAUAAUAAACUGCUAAGCUGUAUAGAGAAUGGGUAAAAGGGUUACUCUCUAAGAAAAUGAUAGGCUCAACAACUCACUUGGCACUUAUUUAUGACAUGUUCAUUCCUUCAAGCAACUCAUAUUUGUCUCCGACAUCAACAUGUAAAGUAGCAAACAUAGCGUAACAUCACUUAAGACCAAAGAUAAUACAAAUACUAAAAUUUGAAAUUAAUCAUGUCAUCCAAUGUUAAAACAAAUCACACAAAUUUUUUUUUAAACAACAUUCUACCCCCCAACCUAUUCUAAGCAUGAAAGGAAAAUAUGAAUGCAGAAAUGUGAAUAUGAUGCAGAAAAACUAAUUAGAAAAGUUACACUUAAAAUGAUAAAAAAAGAGAAUGGUUUUUUUUUAAAGGCUCAAAAGUUUGAAAAUGUAUAUUUAUAGAGGAGAAAGAAGAAGACAAAUAAACAUAAAAACUUAAUAAAGAAAAAGAAAACGUCUGAAUUUUUUUAUUUUUUUUAUUUUUUUUUCAAACGAUGAAGAUGCGUUUCUAGAGUCACUACACUCCAUAUUCAGCAAUCUUCAACACAAAACGUUAGCAACAGUUAAUUUUUACAACAAAAAAUCUGUAAAAACUUAACCAAGAUUCCACAAUUGUCAACUAUUCCCUCCCCCCAACCAGAACGAAACAUUGUUCUCAAUGUUUUAAAGGAAAAAAGUAAAGUUUAGAAGACAUCACCUGGGUGGUGCAACAUAGAAGAAAAUAUUUACAAGCGAAGAGUUAAAUCUAAUUUGUACUUCUUACUGCGGCUACUGUUACCAUCAUUAUUUGGACGCUCCAACAUAAAGGUCCAGGGGUCUGGCUCCGGUCUAUAAGCUUGUAACAGAUCAAGUAGCUCAUUAGCAGUGUGAGAACAAAUAAAAAGCUUUUUGGCAUUGGAAGGAACGAAAUAGUUUUUUAUUGCAUGGUUAAGAAAUGCGAUAAAGCCAUCAUAAAAAUUAUUGACAUUUAACAAACCAAUGGUUUCUGGUGAAUGUGCAGAUGGGCCCAAGAUGCUAGUGUGAUAAGUACCUCUAGUGUUGCAAGAUCUCCUGAAAGGAAAAUAAAAGCAUCAACAUGAUUAAGCAUUUCAGUUAUUUUUUCUUGCAUACCUGAGAUGACUAACUCUUCUCCAGUCGAUGAGUCAGACAAACUGCCCAAAGGUUUUAGGACUCUUGGGAUGAUGCCUAACACUUGACUUCCUCUGACAAAAGCUGCUUCUGAGACCAUUUUUGAUAACCCUCGAUUACCUCCUCCAUACACCAAGUGUAAUUUUCGCGCUACUAUGCUUUGACCAAGAUCUAUGGCUGCCUCAACGAACUCUUUAUGUUUGCCAUUGUUAAAUCCAGAAAGCACACAAAUGUUCUUGAAUUGUCUAUUGGGAGUAGCUGCCAUUGUGAUACUUCUAAAAAACAAUUUGUGAGUGCUUGACAAAAAAGAAUCACAUUUAAGAGUCUUGGUAACAGUGGGUCACAGUUGUGUAUGAGGUAACAUGUCAGUGUCAAAUAACGUGUAAAGUACAUGGCUCGCGAGUCAAAAAGAAAACAGUAAAAGGAAAAAGCAAACAGUAAUAAGGAAAAAGAAAACAGUAAUAAAAUUAUUAAAGACAAUAAUGCACACAAUAAAACAAUAGUGAAAUAAAAUAACAGUAAAGUAAAAGGAUAUUUACAGGUAGUUGCGACUGUGGUUCACAUCUUUCUCUGGUUUUACGUCCAGAAAUGGCUUGAACGUCCUCUAUUGAUCGAGGAUAGGCUUCCUAUUCAGUUUACAGGUAGUUGCGACUGUGGUUCACAUCUUUCUCUGGUUUUACGUCCAGAAACGGCUUGAACGUCCUCUAUUGGUCGAGGAUAGGCUUCCUAUUCAGUUUUCUUAUAAACUGGCAAACAGGGUCGUUUAUAGUCAAAUUCCCGAGACUAUAUCGUGCAUGCUCUUUCUGGAAUAAUGGCCAUAACUGGAGAAUCGCUCCUUACGCAUAUCCACUGGGAUGCGUUUCAAGAGACAAAAGGAUAUCAUCCAAUGACUCCUUAUUCAAGCCAUCCCUAAUGAAUUGAAUCUUAUCUUCCCUAUUAUCAGACACCAUUCCUAAAGAACAUGGGUUUUUAUUGCAACUCAUUCUGGCACACUUAUGACAAGCAACAGAAAUUCUUCGAGCCCGUCAUUUUUUUGCAUAAUUUCCUUUACCACAACCAGGCAUGUAUGCAAUAAAUUUUGGAGGUAACUCAUCUGCCGAUCGUACUUUAGCCUCGAUUAACUAAUGGAUGUCAGCAGGUAUGUUAUUCCUCAUGAGUAAUCGCAUGCGUUCGGACCGAGCUUUAUAGAUCGUAAGGAGGGCAUUCUGAGGAAGUGAAGGGAAUCGCUUGUGAAGCUUCGCUAGAAUGUCGUUUCUGUCCAUACUUUCGCCUCAGAAUAUCAGUUAUUAUGGGAAACUGAAGUAACCGACUUGAUUGUCACGGAGUACCAUUAUCCGCCACUUCACCGGGGUAACAAACUAAAGCACACAAACAGAAAAACAAAUUAAAACACACAAAGAAAAUUAAAAUCGUCCUCUUAUUGAAUUUACCUCAAGCUCCAACUGAAUGCUAUAAACACUUCUCUCAAUGUCUCUGAGUUGGCUUUCUAAACUCUCAACAUAGGAUACUAACUCUGGUGGUUGCAGAGCCCAAAUACGAUGUGUUUUACAAAAUUGAAUCUGCCUUUUGAGAUGAGUUUUAACACGUUGAAGUGGUUUAAGAAUGUUCAGAAGGAACGGUCUAAGUAUGGUACUCAUGAUUAACAAUGAUAAGAGAAAACUUAAUGGUAAAACAAACACACUUAUGCAAAAAUAAUUUCAAUUAGCAAAAGAAUAAUAUAAAGAAAGAAAAAAAAAUAUCAAAUCACCGAAAAGAAAAAAAAUUCAAUUCAAAUCUGGUGGGUCACUUAAAUUUAUUUCGGUGUCUUCUUCAUGUGGUUGGUACUCUAGAUAUGGCUUUAAUCUUUGACCAUUAACUUUAAACGUGACACCGUUUUUUGGGUCCUUAAUUUCAAUUGCCCCAUGUGGAAAAACAGUAUGAACAAUAAAGGGGCCAGACCAUCGAGAGCGUAACUUACUUGAGAAUAGGUGCAAGCGAGAAUUGAAUAAAAGCACUUUCUGACCUGGAGUGAACGAUUUUCUCAUAAUUUGCUUGUCAUGGAAGACUUUUAUUCGUUGCUUGUAAAUCUUGGCAUUUUCGUAUGCAUCAUUGCGAAUUUCUUCAAGUUCUCCCAGCUGUAAUCUUCUUUCUGAACUGGCUUGCUGCAUAUCAAAGUUGAAUUUCUUGAUAGCCCAAUAUGCACGAUACUCGAGUUCCAUAGGUAGGUGGCAAGUUUUUCCAUACACUAGCCUGUAGGGUGACAUCCCAAUCGGGGUCUUGAAAGCCGUUCUAUAUGCCCAUAAUGCAUCAUCAAGUCUUAAUGAUCAAUCUUUUCUGUCUGGCCUCACCGUCUUUUCUAAUAUGUGCUUUAUUUCUCGAUUGGAGAUCUCAACUUGGCCACUGGUCUGCGGAUGAUAUGGGGUCGCCACUUUGUGAGUGAUUGAAUACUUUGUCAAAAGAGACUUGAAUGCUUUGUUACAAAAGUGGGCACCACCAUCACUGAUUAUUGCUCGAGGGAAUCCAAAGCGCGAAACAAUGUUGCUUUUCAAAAAUCCUAUCACCACCUUGUGAUCAUUGGUUCUGCAUGGAAUUGCUUCUACCCAUUUCGAUACGUAGUCAACAGCAACCAAUAUGUAUUGAUAGCCAAAAAAAGGGGGAAAGGGACCCAUGAAGUCGAUACCUCAAACAUCAAAAAUCUCAACCACUAAAAUUGGAUUUAGUGGCAUCAUGUUCCUUCGUGUAAUGCUCCCUAUUCGUUGACACCUAUCACAUGAAGAACAGAAAGUGUAAGCGUCUUGAAAUAUAGUUGGCCAAUAGAAACCACAUUGUAAAACUUUAGUUGCUAUUUUCUUAGCACUGAAAUGCCCUCCACAAGCUUGUUCAUGGUAGAAUGAAAGAAUAUUAUGAAUUUUAUUUUCUGGGAUACAUCGUCUAACAAUUUGAUCUGCACAAUACUUGAAUAAAUACAGGUCAUCCCAAAAGAAAUUCUUUAUUUCUACAAAGAAUUUAGCCUUGUCUUGCUUGGUCCAAUGUUCUGGAAGUUGACCUGUAACAAGAUAAUUCACGAUGUCAGCAUACCAUGGUAAUGCUUCCACACUCAUCAAUUGUUCAUCUAGGAAUGACUCAUUCAAUGGUAAUGUUUCCAUAAUUGUGUCAAAAUGGAGACGAGAGAGAUGGUCCGCCACAACAUUUUCUGUCCCUUUCUUAUCUUUGAAUUCCAAGUCAAAUUUUUACAAAAGUAACACCCAACGAAUUAGUCUAGCUUUUGCAUCUUUCUUUGUGAGAAGAUAUUUAAGAGCAGCAUGAUCUGUGAAUAUAAUUAUUUUACAACCAAUGAGAUAAGAUCGAAAUUUCUCUAAUGCAAACACUACUGCUAGCAUUUCUUUUUCAGUAGUUGAAUAGUUCAACUGUGCAUUAUUCAAUGUCAUAUUAGCAUAGUAAAUAACAUGGGGGAUUCGAUCAACUCUUUGUCCUAAUACUGCUUCUACUGCAUAAUUAAAUGCAUCACACAUGAGCUCAAAUGGUAAGCUCCAGUUUGGGGGCUGAAUGAUGGGUGAUGAUGUCAACAACUGCUUUAGUUUUUCAAAUGCCACAAGACAUGAAUCAUCAAAGAUAAAAGGUACAUCCUUAGCAAGUAAAUUGCAUAAGGGUCUAAAAACUUUGCUAAAAUUUUUAAUGAAACGUCUAUAGAAACCAGCAUGCCCAAGGAAAGAUCUUACUUCUCUGACUGUUUUGGGUGGAGGAAGAUUAUAAAUGAGAUCCACCUUGGCUUUGUCAACCUCAAUACCUUUGCUCGAAAUGAUGUGACCGAGAGCAAUACCUUGUUUUACCAUAAAAUGGCAUUUCUCCCAAUUUAAGACCAAGUUCUUCUCGAUACAUAUCUGCAGAACUAGUGUUAGAUGAUGUAAACAUUGAUCAAACGAAUCACCAAAGACAGAAAAGUCAUCCAUAAAGACUUCAAGGAAUCGUUCAACCAUAUCAGAAAAAAUGCUUAACAUGCAUCGUUGAAAUAUAGCAGGUGCAUUAAAUAAUCCACAUGGCAUUCUCCUAUAUGCAAAUGUGCCAAAAGGGCAAGUGAAAGUAGUUUUCUCUUGAUCUUUUGGUGCUAUGGGGAUCUGAUUGUAUCCUGAGUAGCCAUCUAGAAAGCAAUAAAAUUCAUGGCCUGCUAAUCUAUCAAGCAUUUGAUCGAUAAAUGGUAAAGGAAAAUGGUCUUUACGUGUGACAGAAUUCAACUUUCUAUAAUCAAUGUAUACAUGCCAUCUUGUAGUUACUCUAGUUGGUAUCAAUUCAUUAUCAGCAUUGGUAACUACUGUGACUCUUGACUUUUUGGGGACAACUUGUACAGGACUGAUCCAUGAACUAUCAGAAAUUGGGUAAAUAAUACCUACGUCUAAUAUUAGGAUUUAACCGACGUUGUAUUUCCCUAGUAGAUUUAGCAUUUUCAUCGAGGUGAAUGUAAUGUAUGCAGUCUACUGGGUUUAUACCUUUAAUGUCUGCUAUAGUCCAUCCUAAUGCUCCUUUGUACUCUUUUAAAACAUCCAACUUACCUUUUUAUUCGUCAUUUAGGGAUGAUGAGAUGAUUACCGGCAAAAUACUUUCUUCUCCCAAAAAUGCAUAUUCUAGAGUGUUGGGCAAUGGUUUGAGCUCGAGUUUCGAUGGUGAUUCUGAUGAUGGGAUGAGUUUCUUUUCUGAUGGUGUUAGUUGUUCAACUCUUGACUUCCAUUUAUUAGUGUUCAUGGAUGGUGCUGAGUCAAGUAGGGCGUUGACCUCAUCGACUGAUAUGUCAAUAUCAAAAUCAAAACCAAAGUAAGUUAAACAUGUUUGUAAAGGAUCAUCACUAAGGUUUGAAACAAAAGUGUCAUCAACUAAUACUUCAAUUAAAUCCACAUCAAUAAUUUCAUCAUCUGCAUUGUGAGGCUGUUUGGCAAUGUUGAAGAUGUUCAGCUCGAUAGUCAUGUUCCCGAAGGACAACUGCAUAUUUCCAGUCCUGCAUUGAAUGUGAGCAUCCGUAGUUGCCAAGAAAGGUCGGCCUAGAAUAAUGGGGAUGUGCUUCUUUGAAUCCUGUAUUAGUUGAGUGUCAAUUAUAAUGAAAUCAACAGCAAAAUAAAACUUGUCUACCUGGAUAAGCACGUCCUCUACAAUACCACGAGGUAUUUUCGUGGACCGAUCUGCAAGCUGUAACACCACUAGCGUUGGGUGUAAUUCUCCAAGUCCAAGUUUCAAAAAUACUGAGUAAGGCAACAGAUUUACAUUAGCUCCUAAAUCCAACAAAGCAUUCUCAAUUGUGUAGUUCCCUAUGCUACAUGAGAUAGUGGGGGAGCCUGAGUCUUUGCACUUUAGAGGAAUUUUAUGUUGGAGUAUAGAACUAACGUUUUCUGUUAAAAAUGCCUUCUUUUGAACGUGAAUGUUUCUCUUUUUAGUACAAAGGUCUUUAAGAAACUUGACGUAAGAUGGAACUUGUUUAAUAGCAUCAAGCAAAGGGAUGUUAACACUUACCUGUUUGAAGAUUUCAAGAAUCUCACUUGUGGAUUUUUCCUUCUUUUCUUUCGCUAACCUCUGACGAAAUGGAACUUUCGGAACGUAUUCUCGUGGUUUGGUUUCUUCUCUCUCCUCCGGUGAUGAGUCAUCAACACUCACAAGUACAAUUUGAUUUUCUUUUGUCGCUGGCAUCUCCAUUUUGUUGUCGACUUCUUUUCCUUUUCGCAAGGUCAUGACUGCUUUGACCUCUCCAUGCUGCUGUGGUGAACUGGUACUUGCUUCAUGUACUCCUUUAGGAUUAGGCACUAGUUGACUUGAAAAUUUACCUUUCUCAACGGUCAUUGUCAAGGUCUAAACUGAAGAAGCAAGUUGUCCCAACAUCUUCUCCAGGCUUGAAACUGAUUGGGCUUGCGAGUUGAAACCUGCUCUCAACUCAUUUCGUAGCCCAUCAAUGGUGCGGUUCUGUUGCUCAAUCGUGGAGUGAGUAAGAUUUUUAAGAUUUUGGAAUGAAUCCUCCCAUUGUCUGGGCUGAGUGUAGUUCGGGUUCUGAUUGUAUGGUCUAAAUGGGGGUUGAGAGGCUUGAGGAGUUUGAGAAAUUGGUUGCGUUGGUGGAGCUGGAGCUGCUGGUCCAUUAUGUUGGAAUCAUUGAGACUAUGAAAAAUUAGGGUGGUAUCUCCAUCUAGGAUUAUGUGUUGGAGUAUGGGUUGUAAUUUGAUGGUUUUCUCAUUACACCUAUGGCAUUGGCUUGAUCUGGAUAUGAGUCAGGGUUAUGUGGCUCUGUUGAUUUAGCAGUCGAUAACGAUGCUAUUUGUCGAGCAAGACUUUCAACCAUCUCCUUGACUUCUUUAAUUUCUGAACUCGAUUCGCCAAUGUGAACCUCAUUUACUCCCUUAAUUCUUCUAGUAUUCCUGAGUGACCGACUCCGUUGUUGGGAAUUAUCCGCUUGUCGCUGGAAGAAUUCCCAAAUCUCUGAUGUACUUUUUGACAAUAGCUCUCCUCCACUUGUUGCCAUUAGCCAUUCUUGCACAUUUGGUAGUAAUCCCUCCAAAAAGUAUUGGCAUUGGUGUCAUUUCUCGUACCCAUGAUGUGGACACUUCAAGAGUAGCCCAUUGAAUCGCUCCCAUGUUUCGAAAAAUUGCUCGUCUUCUCUCUGGGUAAACUCUGAAAUUUCCCUGCGAAUAGCAUUGGUUUUAUGCACUGGAAAAUAUUUAUUCAAAAAUUUCGUUACCAUUUGUUCCUAUGAUGUAAUGUUAUUAGCAGGUAAAGUAUUUAACCAUGAACGAGCUCUAUCCUUUAAAGAAAAUGGGAAUAGUCUGAGUUUAACAUCAUCAUCUGAAAAAUUCUCAUAUUUAAAUGUUUGACAAAUAGCAUGAAAAUCAUUCAAAUGAUUAUAUGGAUCCUCAUUUUCUAGGCCAUAAAAUGUGGGAAGACAAUUUAGCAUACUACGUUUUAGUUCAAAGCUCCUAGCAGCUACAUUUGGGUAUCUUAUACAUGAUGUGCUCAAAUUAGCUAAGGGACUGAAGUAGUCCUUAAAUGGCCUCUCCUAUGGUGCUUGUAAAUCCAUUCUAAAUUUAUUUUUAACGUGCCUAUGUGUGCGAAGUGUUUUUUCUAAUUCAAGGUCUAUAGGUUCAAGAUUAGGAAAUAAUGACCUACGACCAUGCAUGCAAGGAAUACAAAAAUAAAUGGGAACAAAACGAAUAAAAAUAAAGAAAAAAGAGAAAUUACGAUACUAACCUUAUUGCGCUGUUACAAUAUUUCUAUAAAAACACACUAAAACAAAUACGUGAAAUAAAUUAACUAAGAAUAAAUUAAUAAGAUAAAAAAAUUACAAAAAAAAAUAAAUUAAAAAUUAAAUUGCAGAAUUGUAAAGAAUAGAGAAAGAAAGAAAUACUAACCUCUAAAUGCAGAUUCACUUUUUUAAAAAAUAUAUAUAUACAAGAAAACAAUUUAAAAGAAAUUAUUCACAAAAAUUAAUUCUAUGAAUUAAAAUUACUUACCUCCCCGGCAACGACGCCAAAAACUUGUUGUGCAAAUUUUACUGAACUCGCAAGUGCACGAAUCUAUUGUAGAAUAGAUUAAUGGAGACGAGUGUCGAUCUCACGAGGAGGUGGAUUUUAAUUAUAUGUAGAAUUAAUUUUGUAUGAGAGUGGUUGGAUUUGUGGUGAAAGUGACUUAGAUUAUCUUAAAAUUGGAAUUAAAAUGACGAGAAUAAAUUCUAAAAUUGGAAUUGAAAUGGCGAGAAUAAAUUGAAGAGAAAUCUAUUGAGAUGACGUACUUGGGUAUCUGGAUCCGUAUCAACAUGCACCGUGGGCUAAAUAUUCCUUAUUAAUACCAAUUAAAUCAUGAGAGGGGAAUCCACACCUCAUGAACCACACUCUAAUCAAUAUGGUGCUAAGGGCUUAUCGUGUCAAAUAAUAAUAACCUUGUACUAGGGGGCCGGUGAAACCAAGGCGGUACUAGACAAGCUUAUUAUUAUUUGUCGACGAGAAGUCAAAACAUCCACAAAAACUAGAAUGGAAGAGAAAAUAAAUUUACCAAAUAAAGCCCAUGACACAUGUUGAGACUUCACCUUUAACCAAAGCUUGAAAGAAAAUUAGCCACUCAUAAUUGAACUAGGGGCAAAAUGAAAAUUUAUUAAAAUACGUAGAAAAUACAAGAUGGAGAAGGAAUUACAAAAAAUGGAUCCCAAAAAUGAAUUCAAAGAUAUCAAAUUAGGGGGGAGAGGCCACCUUUUUAUAAAUACAUGGAGUAAAUCAUGGUCAUCGGAUUAAAAACAGUUUGGACGCUCAGGAUUGCGCCACAUCAUCAGUCAACAGUACGCGGUUUGACCACGCGGAUGAACAGUAACACGGUUUGACCCGGGUUGAACAGUGACAGGGUUUGGUUGAAAAUAAUCCUGUGUGAUGCAUGUACCGUACGCGAGAUUUUUCGUCCACUGAUAUGUUGCCACGUCACCAUCAACAGUACAUAAAAAUUUUAGCCCAACAGGAUCGUGACACCUCAUCAAUCAAUGCCACAUCAUCGGUCAAUGCCACGUCAUCGAUCCGUCUAUGUGAACAGUGUCAUGAACAGUAACAUAGACAGUACCGUACACGUGAAUAGUACCGUACAUGUGAAUAGUGCCAUUUUUUCUUUUAUGCUCCUUCUAAAGUUUUCGACCGUCCUGAGUUCAAAAGUGAUGUCUGUUUUGCCGUCUGAUCUCUCGUUUAUUAUGAAAUGACCAUGAUGCCCCUAAAAUACAUAAAAUACUUAAUUAAAAUAAAACACACAUAAUUAAAUUACAAGAAGCUUAAAUACAUAAAAGUAAGGGUUGUUAGUGAGACUUGAAAUGUAAAAUGACGAUUUUCUCCUUUAUAAAUAUGCAUUUUCUAACACUCAACAAAGCAUUCUUGCCUCAUAAUUACGCCAAACUAUUAUACCAACAGCUACAGAAUUUAAGGCAUGGUAAUCGAUCAGUGGAUGAUUACACUACAGAAUUCUAUUGGUUGGUGGCACGCAAUGACUUGACAAAGACAAAAGAACAGCAGGUUUCCCGCUACAUUGGAGGCCUGCGAUCUUAAUUUCAAGACCAAUUAAAUUUACUUGACCCAUACUUUAUUUCAGAGGCACACCAACAAGCCUUGCAGUUGGAGAAGCAAUUUAGUUGACGUACUAUUGACUCAAGCUUUCGGGGUGUUCGAAGUGUUGUUCAUGAUAAUUCAAACCCGACUUCCCAAUUUCGUAAUUUCAUUCCUCCAAAUCCUCUAAAUAAAACUAGUAAACCUAGUGAAAUCAGUCAAAACAGCAAAACCCAAUCCUCGGGUUCGGGAUUACGCUGUUUUAAUUACGGAGAGAAUGGGCACCGAAUGACAGAAUGUAAAAAGGGAGGAAAAUAUGGUAAAGGCUUAUUCGUAGGCACAGAGGAAAGCGAAGACUAUCAGGAUGAAGAAACUGAAGAGUUCACUGUAGAGCGAACUUUUGAUAGUAGUGGUAGCGCUCAAUCUGUUGAAGAACAUGGUGAUAGCGGACCAAUGUUGAUCGUGAACCGCGCAUUCUUCACUCCUAAAGGUCAAGACAAAGACAAGUGGCUACGACAAAAUAUCUUUCAGACUACUUGCACAAUUGGGGGUAAAGUAUGUCGUAUGGUCAUAGACUCAGGCAGUUGCGAGAAUGUCAUUUCGGAAGAAGCCAUAACAAAGCUAAAUUUAAAGACAGAACCUCAUCAAACUCCAUACAAGCUCACAUGGCUGAAGAAGGGAAAUCAAGUGACAGUAUCGAAACAUUGCUUAGUUUCCUUAUCCAUUGGUUCAAUUUAUAAAGACAAAAUUUGGUGUGAUGUUGUGGCUAUGGAUGCUUGUCAUCUAUUACUGGGUAGACCUUGGCAAUAUGAUCGAAACGUAGCACAUGAUAGGAAGAAAAACACCUACAGCUUUAUGUUUAACAACACCAAGAUCGUUCUCCUACCUAAAAAGGAGUUUACUCUCCAGCAAGACUUGGGUAAUUAUUUGUUAGGCAAGAAGCAAUUUAUAGAUGUUGUAGCAGAGACAAAAAGAGUCUACAUUUUAUUGGGAAAAGAGAGUAACGGUGAUUCGAAGAUUCCUGAAGCUGUGACACCUAUUCUGGCGGAAUUUCAAGAUUUGUUCCCCAAUGAGACACCACAGGGUUUACCACCUCUUCGGGAUAUACAACACCAAAUUAAUUUGGUACCAGGUUCUACAUUACCAAAUCGACCUCAUUAUCGUAUGAGUCCUACAGAACAUAAAGAAUUAAGGCGCCAAGUGGAAGAGCUACUAGAAAAAGAAUUUAUCCGUGAAAGUCUUAGUCCCUGUGCAGUCCCUGCUUUAUUGACUUCAAAGAAAGAUGAUUCUUGGAGGAUGCGCGUGGACAUUCGAGCUAUCAAUAAAAUUACAGUUCGAUAUCGUUUUCCAAUCCCUCAAUUAGAUGACUUGUUAGAUCAACUCAGUGGAGCAAUAAUUUUUACCAAACUUUAUUUGAAAAGUGGCUACCAUCAAAUUCGAAUAGGGCCUGGAGAUGAAUGGAAAACAGCUUUCAGCCUUAAGAGCAGCAAGUUUAUACACAGCAGUAAAAAAGUGUAUUUUCUUGAUAGAGAAAUUAUUAUUUUUGGGAUAUGUGGUGUCGAAGGAUGGUAUAUCUGUUGACCAAUCAAAAGUGGAUGCUAUUCGAGAUUGGCCUCAGCCAACUACUUUAUCCGCCACUAGAAGUUUCCAUGGAUUGACCUCUUUUUACAGGCGAUUCAUUCCUCAUUUCAGUACUAUUAUGGCACCAAUCACGGAUUGCAUGAAAGGAGGACAAUUCUCUUGGACAGAGGCAGCUACUAAGGCAUUCAAGAUUAUCAAAGAAAAGUUGAUUACUGCCCCAGUACUUGCCCUACCAGAUUUUUCGCUCACUUUUGAGGUACAUUAUGAUGCUUCUAAGGUCGGUAUUGGAGCUAUUCUUAGCCAACAGGGUAAGCCUAUAGCUUAUUUCAGUGAGAAGUUGAAUGGAGCAAAGACACACUACAACAUUUAUGACGUGGAAUUUUAUGCAGUAAUCCAAGCGUUAAAACAUUGGUGACAUUAUCUAAUUCAUAAAGACUUUGUUUUAUACACUGACCAUGCCGCGUUAAAGUACCUUAAUAGUCAAGACAAGCUCUCUCACAGACAUGCCACGUGGACAGCAUUCCUUCAACAAUUUACUUUUGUGGUGAAGCAUACCUCUGGUGAAUCCAACCAGGCAGCAGAUGCACUUAGUCGACAAACUUCUUUAUUGACACAGAUACAUAAUCAAGUUCUCAGAUUUGACACAUUUCGAGAGUUAUAUGCUUCCGAUCCUUACUUUGCUCCUAUAUUAGAAGACGUUGUUGCAGGGUUUCGCUCAGAUUAUCAUUUACAUGACGAAUUCCUUUUCAAGAGUAAUCAGUUGUGUGUUCCUGACUCAAGUUUGAGAUUGAAAAUCAUUUCAGAGUUACAUAACGAAGGGCACAUGGGUCGUGACAAAACUCUGGCUUUAAUCGCCAACACUUAUUUUUGGCCUACUAUGAGGCGUGAAGUCUAUCACUAUGUCGAGACUUGUCGCAUUUGUCAAGUUUCCAAGGGCGCAGCAACUAAUGCUGGGUUAUAUAUGCCGCUGCCGAUUCCAACACAACUUUGGGUUGACAUUAGCAUGGAUUUUGUUUUGGGAUUACCCCGCACUCAGAGGGGUAUGGAUUUAAUAUUUGUUGUUGUUGAUCGAUUCUCGAAAAUGGCUCACUUCAUUGCUUGCAAGAAGACUACAAACGCUUUGACUAUUGCUCGCCUAUUCUUCAAAGAAGUCUAUAGAUUGCAUGGUUUACCAAGUUCUAUAGUAUUUGACCGGGAUACACGAUUUCUUAGCCAUUUUUGGAAGACAUUAUGGAAGUUGACUAACACUCACCUGAAUUUUAGUAGUGCUUAUCACCCACAAACAGAUGGUCAAACUAAAGUUGUCAACCGUUCUUUAGGAAACUAUCUACGUAGUCUAGUUGGCGAUAACUUGAAGAUGUGGGAUAAGAAGUUAUAUCAAGUCGAGUUUACUUAUAACCGUGCAGUUAAGCGUAGUACUGGUUUAAGCCCUUUUCAAGUGAAUUACGGAUAUAAUCCACGAGCUCCCAUCGACUUGGCUCUAGUUCCAGAUUUAGUUCGCAAAAGCGGUAAAGUAGAAGACUUUAUUGAGCAGCUUCAGAAGAUUCAUGAAACUACGCAAGAGUCUUUGAAGCAGACGACCGAAGGUUAUAAAAUUAUGGCAGACAAAAAACGUCGAGCUUUGAAAUUUCAAGUGGGAGAUUUUGUUUGGGCUGUCCUAACUAAAGAUAGAUUUUUAGUUGGUGAAUACAACAAGCUUUCUGCCAGGAAAAUCGGCCCUUUGGAGAUUAUAGAGAAGAUAAAUCCUAAUGCCUAUAGAUUAAAGCUUCCUAGUCAUAUCCGCACCGCAGAUGUAUUUAAUGUUAAGCAUCUUAUUCCUUACAGAGGUGAUCAUGAUGGAGAUGUUGUUGCUGACAAUCCGAAUUCGAGGGCGAAUUCUCUCCACCCUGGGGGGAAUGAUGAAGAGUAGGAAUCCAUAUUAUACUAAGAUUAGUUUCCUUAUUAACUACAGUUUAAGACUUUUAAAUUCCUUUCUAAUUUAGAAUUUUGUUUCCCUUUCAAUUUAGGAUUUUGUUUUUACUUCAUGAAUUAGGAUAAUUAUUACUACUAUAAAUAGCUCCCUCUUGUAGCCUUUGAAGGUAGAAUUUUGAGUUUAAUAAUAUUUCAAUUUUCAAAUCUUUUUGUGAGUAUUUGAACAGUUAAUUCUCGGUAUAUUGUGGAAUCAACGAGUCUUAGCCCCUAAGUUCGCGGUAUUCUUUUGAAUCAACGUGAAUUUAGUUGUUCUUUUAUUCUGGUAUUCUUUAGAAUCAACAGAAUAUUUUGAACAUUAAACUUCCGCUGCAUCAACCAAGAACACAUGGAAUGUAAGUUGCAGAGAUCUAUUUAUGGAUUGAAGCAAGCAUCCCGGUCAUGGAACAUCAGAUUUGAUCAAGCGAUUAAAUCGUUUGGAUUCAUUCAGAACAUUGAUGAAUCAUGUGUGUAUAAGAAAAUUUAGGGAAAAUUUGUAGCCUUCCUAGUUCUUUAUGUAGACGAUAUUCUCCUAAUUGAAAAUGAUAUAGGAGUAUUGACUACAAUAAAGAGUUGGUUAACAAGACAAUUUGAUAUGAAAGACUUGAGAGAGGCAAGUUAUAUUCUUGGGGUAAAAGCUUUUUUAGUCCCUAUAUUAUGAGGUUAGUGCCCAUUUAGUCCUAAUAUUUUUAAAAACACCUCAAAACGUCCCUACUGCUAAAUAUUAACACUCAUGCCAUUAUUUUUUAUUCUUUUUAACUUGCUUUUACAAUAUAACACUCUUACAAUAAUGUUUCUUUUUUGGAUAUUAAUAAAAAAUUAGAUUAUCAAAUUAAACUCAAAAAUAAAAUAACAACAAAAAAAGUAUAUAUUAAUUUUUGUGGAAGCUCACGUAUGUCUAAAAAAAUAAUAUUAUAAAAAAUUACAUUAUCAAUUUUUUUAGAAAAAUUAAUAUUUUAACUCAAGAGAGUGUUCCACAAAAAUUAAUAUAUAUUUUUUAUUUUUAUUUUAUUUUUUGGUGUUAAACUGGUAAUUUAUUUUUUUUCUUUUUAAUAAUUUCUAAAAAAAAUUAUUAUAAUAGGGUAAUAUUGUAAAAAUAAGUAAAAGGAACAAAAGAUAAUGGCAAGAGUGUCAAUAAUUUUAUGGUAGGGAUGGUUUGAAGUAUUUUUAAAAAUAUAAGGACUAAACGGACACUAACUUCAAAAUAUAGGGUCUAAACGAGUUUUUACCUUAUAUUCUUGGUAUCAAAUUACUACGAGACAGGAAGAAUAGAACUUUAGCCUUGUCUCAAGCGGUCUAUAUCGACAAGAUAUUAGCUAGAUUUAGCAUGAAAAAUUUCAAGACUCGUUUAUUACCAUUCAGACAUGAAAUUGUAUUAUCUAAGGAUCAAUCACCCAAAACAUUUGAAGAAAUAGAAUGAGACGAGUUCCCUAUGCAGAAGUUGUGAGAAGUCUCAUGUAUGCCACACUUCGCACUAGGCCAGACAUCUAUUUUGCGGUAGGGAUGGUUAGCGGAUAUCAAUCUAAUCUUGGAUCUGAACACUGGACUGCAAUCAAGUAUAUAAUGAAGUAUCUGAAAAGAACUGAGAAUUAUAUGCUUGUGUAUUCUGGUGAUGAGCUCAUUCAAGUGGGUUAUACUGAUUUUGACUUUAUGUCAGAUAAGGAUUCCAGAAAAUCAACUUCUGGCUACGUGUUUACAUUAAGAAGUGGAGCUUUUAGUUGAAGGUGUGUGAAAUAACCUUGUAUCACAGACUCCACAAUUAAAGCUGAAUAUGUGGCUACAUUUAAAGCUGUAAAAGAAGCUGUAUGGCUCCGCAAGUUCCUACAAAUCUUAAGGUGGUACUUGUUGUAACUGCACCCUUUAAACUAUUUUGUGAUUAUGGUGGUGUGAUAGGAACAAAGGAACCACAAGAAACAAAAAUAUAUUGAGAGGAAGUAUCAUAUUAUAAAGGAAUAAUGUAGAAAGGCUAUAUGACAAUACCCCAAAUGGCAUUAGAUGUUAUAUGACAUAUCUUAUUACAAUGGUCAUUAGUGGGAAACCUUUAUAACCUGCACUUAGAGCCCCUAGAGUAUGUGCAAUAUGCCAGAUAUGCUUUAAAGAGUUAGUGGGAGAUUGUUGGGAUUAUGUGCUCUUUUAAAAGCAUAAUAAUUUAUUUUUUGAUUAAUAAAAUAUUUGAGAUAUUUUCAAUUGCAUAAAUAUAUUAAAUAAGGUCUGUUUAAUCAUAUUAUAUGUAUUUAUGUGAUCAUCAUAUGGAUUCACAGAAGACAUAAAUAUAAGUUAUUUUAUGAUUAAAUAAAUUAAGUUCGCAGUUGAUAAAUAGAGUUGGGCGCUCUAUUUAUGUUUAGACUGUAGUAAAUUCAUUGAAUGAUUUAUCUUAAUUAUGUAUGAAUUUACUGAUGUAGUUUGACUACAUUGAGCUGGAUCACAUAUGAGAUUUAAUUAACCUUGAAAUGACUGUCAGACUUAUUAAAUCUCAUAGGCAUUAAUUUUAUUGUAAUCUUAAUCUUGAGUUAGUUAUAAUUUCAUGAUUGUAAUUGUUAUUUCAUUUGAGUUACCAAUGGGCACGACACACACUUGCAGUCAAGAUUACCUGGUAUUUUGGUGGCAGCAAUUAUGAGUAUUGGAGUUAUAAAUUAACAAUAUAGAAUUUGUACAACACAUCUCUUGAUGAGUUUUCGAUACUUGAUCAUAGCAUUCUCUGGCCAGAGUGUGUCAACAUAUUUAGUAUGUUGAAAAUGAUCAUUAGAGAAAACCAGUAUUUAUCAAGGAACAAGAUGUAAUUAAAUUGAUUGGGCAGUUGAGAUAUCAAUUUAAUUAACGAUGUGGUAUGCAGGAUUAUUCAGUAAAGAAAUCAAUGUGGCAUGGGUCGAAUUAUUAUUCGAGAACACUAUCCUGGAUAGUAUACAAUUAUGGAGGUCAACUUCAAUCUUUUAGUGGAGUAGAUUUGGAAUUAAAUAAUUGGGCUAGUUUAAUUACAGGCCUAAUUAUUGUAGUCACUAUUGUAUGUACCCAAAUGAUCCCCGGAUUAGCUCAUUUAAUUGACUGCGCCGCUACUGGAUUAAUAAGCAAGAUAACUAGUUAUUUGGGUUAAAAGCCUAAAUAUAUUAUUUAGUGGGAGGCUUCAUAUAAUGUGCUUGUGUCUAAGGGGUCUUGUGUUAUUUUACAAAGUGGACCCCUAUAACAAGAAGAAGUAAUGUUACUUUUUAUUUUAUUAUUUUUAAUUUAAAUCAAAUUUGAUUUAAUAGAAUUAAAAAAUAUAAAAAUAUGGAGCCUAGGGUUUCCACCAAAUAAAGAUAUAAAAUGACUUAUUUUCUCCCAAAAGCAGAAAUAGCCACAAUAUACAGAUCAAGAGAAAAAGAUUUUUUCUCUCUAAUUUUGAGAGGAAUAUUUUCUCUUACUAGUUGCUUUUAGUAGUGAUAAAGGCGCCCACACGUCAAGUGUAGAUCAAACCUGAGUCAUAACUCGGAAGAUUAAUUGGUGACGAAUCGUGAUCUAAUCAACAUAGUGGUGACAGAUCGUGAUCUGGGAAGCCUGGAUUAAUUUCAAUUGUUCAUCUUCUCAGAUUGUUAAGGUAUGAUUUUCUAGAUUACGUAUUCCUAUAUAUUGGAUGAGAUCGGUCUUGAAAGUUUUUUUUUAACUGAUUUUUCUCCAACAAUUCACUAUUCCAUAAGAUUUGCAUCGUCGCUGAAGGGUUACAAUCCAUAGUAGUACGAAUAAGAUCAGGCAAAAUACCAGCCUCACAUAACGUCUCAUGAAUGAACUCCCAACUUAAUCUGCCAUAAGCCUUCUCAAGGUCAACCUUUAUAAGCAUUUGCCCCCUUUUACCUUUCUUCAUCCUUAUGUUAUGAAUGAUAUCCUGGGCGACAACUAUAUUUUCUGUGAUAUGACGUCUAGCGACGAAACUUGCCUGAGUGGGGCCGAUCAAGUCAGGGAGGAUGACUUUAAUCCUGUUAGCCACAAUCUUAGUAAUAGUUUUGUAGAACACUAUACAGAGGCUAAUAGGGCGAUACAACUUGAGGCUAUUGGGAUGCUUAGUCUUAGGAAUAAGAACAAUCAACGUCUUAUUGACUUCGCUCAGGACACUGUUCCCAGUAAAAACAUUCUUCACCAGGUUGCACGCUGACUCCUCCACCGCAUGCCACUGAGAUUGAUAGAAGACGGCAUGUAGCCCAACAACCCCAGGAGCUUUCAACGGCUGCAUAGUCAACAUGGCUACCACAAUAUUUCUUUGAUAAUGAGACAAUUUAGGGGUGUGCACGGUUCGAUUCGGUUUAGUUCAGAUCAAGAUUGAGUACAACAGAUUAAAUUUGUUUAUUUUAUAAUAAGAACUGAAUACAAUAAAAAACCGAACAUGAUCUUAUCCAUGGUUUGGUUCGUUUCAGUUUUUUCAGUUUUGUGCCUAUUGAGCCUAUUUUGAAUUCCAAAUUUUUAGUUUGUUGGGCCUCAUUAAUAAAAUAAUUUUUCUUAGUAAUCAGUUCAUUAUAGUUUCAUUAUAAAUGCUAACAAUAAACAAAAAGUAUUCAAAACAAAUUUAUCACAACUGUCUUACUAACUAAUGCUAAUGAAAUAUGAAAUAUUAAGAUUUAAGAAUACAAAUCUAGACUCCAAUGCUCCAUCUAAAUAAAUUUAAAGUUGUAAAGAAAAAUAAAAAUAGUAAUAGGUACAACACAAAAUAAAAAUAACAAUCAUGUGUGAGUAGGUUUAUUGUAAUCAUUUUGCAUAGCGAAUUAACAUAAAACACAUUUCAUGUUUUGGUAAAAUUACAAAAACAUUCCAGUUCUUCAGUUCGGUUAUUCGGUUCAGUUAAGUAAAACAAAAUCCACACCGGUAUUUCGGUUUUUUCUUAUAAAUUGGAUAUUCGAAUAUUUAUAAGAAUUAAAACUGAUCCGAACCCGAACUGAUCCACCGGUUCAAUUCAAUUUUUCCUAGGCCUUGGUUUUUUUGCCCACCCCUAGAUGAUGUAUCAUUUCAUUAUAAACAAUAUCAUGAUCGCUUAUGUUGUCUGCUUAUUUUAUUUUAUAUUUUUGGCUACCACAACAUUUUUCUAUAUGGUAACAAUAUAUAAAGCUUCAAAACAUGCAUGGAGUUGAUUUAUUGACAAAAAACAAGGAUAGAACUAGUUUCAGAAACAUAAAUUAAGGUCGAAGAUUACAUAAAUUAAGCUGUUUAUUCAAAAGCCGUGCGUGCAGGCUUUAGGGGAUUAAUGAGAAAAAUGUCAAGAAGUUGAUCAAUUGUGGUGAAUUUAAAAUCAGGGUACAGCUUUGAAGCUUCAAUGCCAUCCUCUCCGAGUUCAAAGUUCAUCAAGUCACCCUUUACAAGUAUGCUGUGUAUAAUGGAUAUUGGUAUGUCUUCUGGAGGUGGUAAAGCUGCCACAAUUGAAGAUGGAAAGGUUGUGGUGAACAUUAAUAUUAAUUUAAGUGUAAAAUGAAUGAGAUGUCAAAGAGAUGGGGGCUAUAAAAUCUUCUAGUCAGGGGUAGAACUAGGUAGAGGUGAAAAUAGGAAUUUUUCUUAGAAUGGGCUAAACUCAAUUUCUUUCAAUUUAAAAAAAAAAUUCUAAAAUUAAAGCCAUUAAAUCACCCUAACAUUAAGGUAGCGUUUACUUUUUGGAUUGGAGUGGGAAUCCUAAGAUUGGGAGUGUUGAGUGUGAGUGGGAGUGGGAGUAGGUUGUUUACUUACAUUGAAAUGGAAGCAUGAAAUGGAGAUCAGAAUUCAAUUUAUGUGUUUACUUUGUCUUGGAUUGGGAGUAAAUAGUUUCAAAUUACAAUUUUUUUCUUAUUUAAAUAAUUAUAAUUUUUAAUUACAAAGUUAAUAAAAAAUAUAUUUAAUGAAUAAACAUUUAUUUUAUUAUGUUUGUAAAUUUAUAAUAAAUUAUUAAUAUUCUUAAUUAUGAACAUCACAAUUUUUUAUUAAUUUUAAUUUUAAUUAUAUAAAUUAAAAAUUAUUGAUAAGGGCAAUAUAAAUGAAAUAUUUUUACUAUUAACAUAGUAUGAAAUUAAUAUUUUCUUAGAAUAAACUAUUUAUUAGUAUUAAUUAUUAAUAUUAAAAAAAUAUAAUACUAAUAUUUUUAAAUAAAUAUAAUAAUAUUAUAUUUUCAAAUAAAGAUGGUAUAUAGUAAUAUUAUUAAUUCUCUAUUAAUAUGAUAUUAUUAUUUUUAAGUAAUUUAGACUUAGAAUCAAACCAAAUUAUUAUUUAGUUAAAUAUAAUAAUAUUAUUUAAAUAAAUAUAAUAUUAUUUAAAUAUUUAUUAAAUAUAAUUAUAGUAAAUUUAAUAAAAAGAGGGUAAAAAAGAAGGGUAAAUAUAAAAUGAAACAUUAUUUUAUUUUAUUUUAUAUAAUUAUAUUAAGUUUAUUAUUAUAUAAAAUAAUAAUAUAAUAUUAUUUAGUACAAAAUUAAUAUUUUCUUAUAAUAAACUAUUUAUUAUUAUUUAUUAUUAAAUAAAUAUAGUACUAUUAUUUUAAAAAUAAAUAUAAUAAUAUUAAUCAAAUAAAUAUAAUAAUAUUAAUCAAAUAAAUAUUAUAUUAUUUAUUUUAUUUUAUUAAAUAUAAAAUAUUAAAUUAAGUUAAAUUAAAUUAAAUUAAAAAGGAUAGAAAAUGGAGACGUGGGAGUGGAUUCCCACUCCCACCUCUCCCCAUGGGAGUCCCACUCCCACUCCCCACUCCAAAAAUGGGUGGGGCUCACGGAGUGGGAUUCCCAAUCCGAAACCAAUUUGUUGAAGUAAACACUGGAGUGGGAGGAAUCCACACUCCUCACUCCCACUCCAGAAAGUAAACACAACAUAAAUUAAUACUUCUAAGAUUGAGAAACACUUUGUAAAUUGAGUUCAUUUAACAUUAAAUGGUUUCUAUUUUAUUGAUUUUUCUUAAAUUUUUAAUUAUCCGACUGUAUUUUGAGUGUGGGUUUUGAUACCCUUAAUUAAACACCAACUUUCAAACAGUUAAAAGUCAAAUGAGUGAUAAGUAUCUUACCAUCAUAAUUUUAUUUGACACUGAGAAAGAUAUGUAGGUCAUGGCCUUCAGGCCUGGCCAAUCAAUGUGGAAAAAAUUUAUAAAAGAUAAGGGUCUGCUUUGAAAUUUAAUUGAAAAAUUUAGCUAUUGACCCCACUAGAUUUACACUUUAGCCCAUAUGGUUCCGCUCUUGCUUGCAGUGAUUUUAUCUUUUUGUAACUUCGUAUAGAAUUAAAUCUUUUUAUCAAAAAAGCUAAAAAAAAAAGAAAUUCUUACUCUGAGAUAGGUUUACUAGUUCUUCCUCAGAAACAUGAACCCUUUUGAAACUUCGACCUGUCUUUUCUUCCCAAACCGAGAUCAAUUCAAGUUGUGAUAUAAUAUUUGUUUGCGGACGAUAAAUCACAAUUCGAUUGCAUGUUCUUGGAUCAUUUAUCACUUUGAUUGUACAAUUAGCUAUAUCUUCCUCGUAAUUGAAGACAACUGAAAUAGAUAAAUAGAUGAUAUAACAUCAUAAAGAUAUUCAACAAAUGAACUUUAAGUGUAAAUUGUUUUUCAAUGUGUGGAGUACUUGUGCAUUGGGAAAGUAUACGUGCCUUUUGCUUCACCAUUUCCAUAAACAACAACAUCAUCAUGUGGCUCAGAUGGACAAAGCAAGACAUUCACAAAGUAAGCACCAUAGCAGUUUGCUGAGACAAAGGUGUAGGGAAUUUCAGCUGCUUCUAUUGCCCUUCUUACUAUUCGUUUUUUCUCCAAGUAAGCUUCAAAAGGAGGCAGAGGCAUUACCCUGUCCUCUUCACAUCCAAACUCAGAUGGAAGAAACCUCUAGCGGCCAAAACUUAGUGUGUUUUAAGAUCAUGUGCAAUAUAAAUUUUAUAAAAUGCAGCAUUGAACUGUAAUUUUAAUAUUAAGACCCAAGUCCAAGUUUGAAUCUCAUAAAAUAUGACACCCAGAACUCCUAAGAAUUGGCCAAAUAUACUCAUGGAUUCUCUUAAUUUCGAAAAAUGUCCAUGGAAUUUCCUUUGACUGAAUAUUUCAUAAUAUCUUUGACUAUAGUAACCCCAAAUAUUGACUUUAUUUUUUUAAUAAAUAUAAUAAGAUAAUAAACAGAGAGUAAAUACUUGUUUAAUUUUAUAUUUUGAGUCAAGUGUUCAUUUAGUUUUUAUAUUUUAAAAAAAAUCUCAAGACAAUCCCGCUAUUAAAUAAACUAGUACACUUACUUUUCUUUCUUUUUACAAUAAUACCGUAGGAACAAUAUUCUUUGAGAUGUUAAUGAGAAGAAAAAAAUAAUAAAUUAUCAAAUUAAACAUAAAAGUAACAAAAACAUUUACACAAACUUUUAUAUUAUUAUUUUACGAUUCAAAUUAAUUGGGUAAAUUAAUUUUUUAUAAAUAAUUGUGUAAUGUAACAUUUUUAACUAUAAUGAUGUUUUGAGGUAUUUUUUAAAAAACAAAUAGAAGCUAAACGGGUGCUUAGGUUAAAAUAUAAGGAUUAAACGAGUAUUUACCCUAAUAUAUAUUUAUAAAUUUUUAUAUUAAAAUUAUUAAUAACGAGACACAUUUUAUUAUUAAUAUUAUAUCUAAAUUUUGGAAAAAGGACAUUAACACCUUCAUGCUUUAGUAAAAGGUCAUGGAGACCUUUUAUUUUUAGAAAUAAUUAGACCCGGGAAAUUUGUCCGAUAAAAUGGUCUCUUUACCAAAAGGAGUAUGCCUGAAAAUUUCUAGACCAUUCACCACUAAAUUAGAGUUUGUGAUUUUAAGUAUUUUAUGCUAAUUGACACUAACUAGCCUUCGCGUUUUCGGUUUUUUGCAGCUAAUUAUCAUUCCUUAGCUUCAAAUCUGCAUUUAUAAAGUGUCAAUAUUUACGUAUGAAAAUUUUCUAAUGCUUCGGAAAAACACAACAAAAGCUUUUUCAAAAGGUAUAGAGUUCAAAGUUCAAACAAAUACCUUGAUGUUACCAGCAACUUUGAUUGCAUCAACAAUUUUCAGUUGAUCAAGAAGUUGGGGAUAAGCUACAGUAGAUAUCACCACACCUACUUCCUUAAGUAUAGAUAUAAUUUUCUCGUGCUCGUCUAGCUCUCCCUGUUAUAAUUUCAACAGUAUUAUUAUUAACACUUAAGCUUAUAAAUAAUAUCGAAGGGUUCCAAUUAGAUCAACACAAAAUUAAUUUUAUAAAAAAAUUAAAAAAAAAACCGAGGUUCGAAUUUCACUCGGACAUUUAAAGGAAAAAAAUAAAAGCAAAGGAGAUCGAGAUAAUUGAGUAAUGAAGUAACCUCAAUAAUGGUGACACCAACCCUGAAAUUCCUUGUGGAUUUCAAGCUUGGAGGUUCUUGAAUUUUUUGUAACUGGUCGAGCAUAAACAAAAGUAUUGUGACCAGAAGAAACACUUGCUUUCGCCAUAUACUUACCGAGGUAUCCAGUACCCCCAAAGAUAAGUAUCUUUGGUUUUGUGUUCUCACCUUCCAUUUCUUCCUUUCACUUCAAUUUAUCUUUCAUAUAUCUUCCCUUCCCAUUUUACAUAUUUAUAUAUGAUAUCAGGAACUCACAUUUUUAGUGUUGAAAAUGUGAGACUCGACGGGGACUCAAUUGAUGGUGUUUCCCUGCAAUAAUGUUGUACGUUCUAAAUGUUAAAAUCAAUGGAGCUAUUUCAGCCGUUCAAAAAUCCGAAAAUUGUCUCCUUAUUUCUGAAUCUCCUUAUUUCUGAGUGAGAUAAAUUGAUAACAUCUUUUAGUGUGAUAAAUUUGUAAUUUUUUACAUAGUAAUUCUAUCCCAUCGUCUUUGACUGGUACGAUUUUUUUUCCUCUCGAUAGAGAAGUUUUUGAAGUAGUACUUGCAUCCUCGAUAGAGUUUGUUCUCCAUCUUUUUUUACUUUGAUAUAUUACUUGUUUCACAUAUUGAUUGCGCUUAUAUCUUAAUGGAAUCAUAAUUUUUCCACUCAUGAAUUCUUAUUUAUUGAAAACAGUUUUACAUAUUCAUAUGAAACAAUUUUUCGGAUAUUAAAAAUAAGAAGAAUACGAUUCAAAAUUUUGAAUUAAUCUUAACUUCUCAGUGCUAUGUUUGAAUCCCAUAUCAAACAUACCCUAAACUUUAAGAACAUAAAAUUCACAUAUAAAAAAUAAUUUGAGUGAAAAAAGAAAAUGAAAGGAAUUUUUUUUCCGAAUUUCCUUGGUGUACUUUUUUUAAGGGAACCCAAUCAUAAAACUGGUUUAUGAUUAACGUAUAUUACAUAGUUUACACAUAAAUUGACAAAAUCAGCCAUGAUUCUUAUGUUUUUCCUUAUAAAUGGAUAAUUUAAAUUUGUGAUAGUAUAUAUUUUUUUAUUUUUCUUUAAAUGAUAGAGUAGUAGAUAAAGUUCAAAUUAACUUUUUAACUCCUUAUUUCUUUUAUCUUUAAGAUUCAAAUUCGGAACCAACCAAAUAAUACCAUUUGAAAAUCACUCUUUAGCCUCGAGACAAAUAUGUGAUAACAAGUUUUUGGUUGAUAAAUAAAAUGACGACGUUUCCUAUGCAAAAUGAAUGGUGUCUACUGCUCAAUGCCACGAGCAACUUUUGUGCGUAAUUGCAAUUGCAAGUGAAGUAAUUUGAGAGUUUUGAGAGAUCUUCUACUUGAGUGCUAGGAGGAUUCAAUUGGGUGUAUUGGGGUUGUGGGUUUUUAAGAGUUUUUACCACUUUUGUAAAUUCUCAUUUAUUAGUAAAAUUAUCUUCUAGGUUUUGCCCGUAGACGUAGGUAUUACGCCGAACCACGUAAAUUAUUGUGUCAUAUUUUCUUUGUAUUUUUUUAUUCACCAAAUUUAUAUUUCUCCAGAAAUUGCAGUCGCCAUAAUAUUGGUAAUUGCUCAACCACAAGCUUCCGCAACAAGGUUUGCCUCUAAACAUUCGUUCAUGAAUGGGCAUUUUCGCUGCUCUGAAUGUGUCCUGAUCUUUCAAGAAUCAUAACAACCAGACAAACCAAACACAUUCUCAGUUGACAAUUAUUUUUUACACAAUAUGACAAAUUUAGAGCAGCAAAAUAUCUGAGCAUUUAUAAAAUAUCUUCAAAACAAAUUUAUGAAUGCUAGAAAUAUCUAAGCAUCUAAUAAAUUUCUUUUAAACAGAUAGAAAUAUCUAGGCAAAAGUUGUAGUUAAAAAUUAGCCACAACGAAAAAUUCUAAAUGUGUGGUCACCUAGUGUUUGUAAGGCCUAUAAAGACAUGGCCAUGUCUCCAAUUCAAGCAAUGAAGUUAAGAACAAUAAAAUCUUCCACUAGUAAAAUCCUUUCCACUUCCCUUUAUCUUUGAUCAAAUAUUAUUGAUCAAAAAUAGUUUCCACUUUAAUUAUUUUAGCCCACUAUCUACCCCUGCUCCAACACCUGCCUUCUGCUCCCUCAAUUUUUGGGAACCGAAUCUAAAAUUAUUUUAUAUCAUUGAAUUUAAAGGGGGAAAGAUCAAAAUGGAAGAGUAUGAUAAGUUUCUUUUGAAGGAUGAAUUAUUUUUUCAAUAUUUCUUUGAUAAUGUAUUAUUUUCAGUAUAAACUAUAUCGUGAUUAGUUAUGUUUUCUACUUAUUAUUAUUAUUAUUUUAACAUCACGGCAUUUUUCUAUAGAGUAAAAAUAUAUAAAUGCUUAAAAAUAUGCAUGGAGUUCCAUGCAUGUUCUGUUAUUCUUUCUUUUGAUUUAUUGACACAAAACAAGGAUAGGACUAGUUUUGGAAACAUAAUUAAUUAAAGUCGAAAAUUACAUAAAUUAAGCUGCUUAUUCAAAAGCCGUACGUGCAGGCUUUGGGGGGUCAAUGAGAAAAAUGUCAAGAAGUUGAUCGAUUGUGGCGAAUUUAAAAUCAGGGUACAGCAUUGAAGCUUCAAUGUCAUCCUCUCCAAGUUCAAAGUUCAUCAAGUCACCCUUCGCAAGUGCGCUGUGUAUAAUGGAUAUUGGUAUGUCUUCUGGAGGUGAUAAGGCUGCAACAAUUGAAAAUGGAUAGGUUGUAAUGAACAGUAUUAAUUAAGUUUGAAAAUAAAUGAGAUGUCAGAAAGAUUGAGGCCUCUGAAAUCUUAUAGUCAAGGGUGGAAUUAGGCAGAGGCGAAGAUAGUAAUUUUUCUUACAAUGUGGUAACUAAUUUUAUUAAUUUAAAAAAAUUCUAAAAUUAAAGCUGUUAAAUCACCCUAACAUUAAAUAAAUACUUUUAGGUUUGAGAAACACUUUAUGAAUUAACUUCAUUUAAUAAGAAAAAUUAUUCUAUUGUGACAUCAUAUGCAAACUGGCACAAUUAAAUAGUUUUUAUCUCAUUUUCUUAAUUUUUUAAUUAUCUAAUAAUAGACUGUGGGGUAUGAUACCCUUAGUUAAAUACUAACUUCAAACAAUUAACAUUCAAAUUAGUGAUAAAUAUCUAACACAAGAAACAUAUAUGGUUAUGGUAAAAAAUUUAUAAACGAUGAGGGUCUGCUUUGAAAUUUAACAAAAAAAAUUCACGUAUUGACCCCACUAGAUUUACACUUUGGCCCAAUGGAAUAGAACAUCAUUCUGGUUCCGCUCCUGCUUGUAGUGAUUUUAUCCUUUUAUGACUUUUUAUAAAACUAAAUAAUUUUAUAAAAACAAUUAAAUAAAAAAUCAAAAUUCUUACUCUGAGAUAGCUUUACUAGUUCUUCCUCAGAAAUGUGAACUCUUUUGAAACUCCGUCCAGUCUUUUGUUCCCAAAGGGAGAUCAAUUCAAGCUGUGAUAUAAUGUUUGUUUGCGGUCGAUAAAUCACAAUUCGAUUGCAUGUCCUUGGAUCAUUUAUCACUUUGAUUGUACAUUUAGCUAUAUCUUCCUCGUAAUUAAAGACAGCUGAAAUAGAUAAAUAGAUGAUAUAACAUCAUAAAGAUAUUCAACAAAUGAACUUUAAGUGUAAAUUGUUUUUCAAUGUGUGGAGUACUUGUGCAUUGGGAAAGUAUACGUGCCUUUUGCUUCACCAUUUCCAUAAACAACAACAUCAUCAUGUGGCUCAAAGGGACGAAGCAAGACAUUCACAAAGUAAGCACCAUAACAGUUUGCUGAGACAAAGGUGUAGGGAAUUUCAACUGCUUCUAUUGCCCUUCUUACUAUUCGUUUUUUCUCCAAGUAAGCUUCAAAAGGGGGCAGAGGCCUCACCCUGUCCUCUUCACAUCCAAACUCAGAUGGAAGAAACCUCUAGCAACCAAAACAUAGUGUGUUUAAGAUCUGUUCUAUAUAAACAAAUUUGAAGCAAUUCAUCACUGAAUUGUAAAAAGACACUAAAAGGUUACCAAGACACAAAUACGAAAUUAAAGUUUGUGAUUUUAGGUAUUUUACUAAUUAAGUAGCUCUCGUAUAUAUUUUUACAUCGUUUAUGACUAACUACUAUUGCCUAGUUUAAAUCUACAUUUACAAAAUGUGGACAUCUACACUUAAAAGUUUCUAAUAUUUUCCAAUUAGCAAACAAACUAUAUUUCAAUUUCUCCCCAAAAAAAAAAAAAACAACAACAUGAUUUGUUUUUUUUUAAAAAAAAGAAAGAGCUCAAUCAAAUACCUUGAUGUUACCAGCAACUUUGAUGGCAUGAACAAUUUUCAGUUGAUCAAGAAACUGAGGAUAAGCUACAGUAGAUAUCACCACAUCUACUUCCUUAAGUAUAGAUACAAUUUUCUCGUGCUCGUCCAACUCUCCCUGUUUUAAUUUCAACAGUAUUAUUACAAAUAAUAUCGAAGGGCUCCAAUUAGAUCAACACAAAAUUAAUCUCAUAAAAAGAAGUAUAAGAGGUUUGAGGUUCGAAUUUCGUGCGUGCAUUUAAAGGGGGAAAAAAAGAGGAAAAAAAAAAGAAACAAAACCAAAGGAGAUCGAGAUAAUUGAGUAAUGAAGUAACCUCAAUAAUGGUGACGCCAAUACCCUGAAAUUCCUUGUGGAUUUCCAGCUUGGAGGGUCUUGAAUUUUUUGUAACAGGUCGAGCAUAAACAAAAGUUUUGUGACCAGAAGAAACACUUGCUUUCACCAUAUACUUACCGAGGUAUCCAGUACCCCCAAAGAUAAGUAUCUUUGGUUUUGUGUUCUCACCUUCCAUUUCCUCCUUUCACUUCAAUUUAUCUUUCAUAUACCUUCCCUUCCCUUUUUACAUAUUUAUAUAUGAUAUCAGGAACUCACAUUUUUAGUGUUGAAAAUCUUAUACACACAGAAUCUGGUAAAUUUGUUUUCUUGAAAAAGUUGCUUCACCUAAACUAUUAUUUUUUAAUUUUCAUCAAUAAUCAAUAUUCUUAACCACAUAAAUUUUAUUGCCAUUAUUGUUCCCUGAAAAAAAAUUAUUUAAUUAUAAAUUUCAAUAGCUAAAUUUAUUAUUAAAAUAUUUGAACUUUUUCAACCGCGAUAAAAAGAAGUCUAACCCGACCAACAAGUGCUAAAUUUUGUACAUGUUGAAAAUUUGACUUGAAUGUGGGAAAACAUUAAAGACAAUAGGAUAAAAUAAUUGGAAUCAUGAUUCUCUCUUUAUCUGGUCUUUAUAUGAACAGAUUUUAUUAACACAAUUAGUGGUUAAUAAAUUAAAAAGAAAAAAAAUUAAAUCUUAAUCCUACACUAACACUAAAACACAGAUGGUAUAAGAUUUAUAAAAGAUCAAGAGUGUUCAGAUCAUGGAUAUUAAUCCAAAUAAUUGCUCCGCAAAAGAGUGAUAAUGAAAUAGCAAAAUUCUUUGACAAUUUUGUUCAUGCAACUAAAUAGCAAGUGGUGAGAGCAAAAACAAAUAAAAGGCCAAAGCCUUUUUGGCUUUAGAAUUGAAAAGGUGGGGUCCAUUUUGAAGAUUCUAUAAGCAGCCUUUUGGCUUUUGGCUUUUGGCUUUUGGACGAAGAGGAGAGGGAGCCGCCAAAGGGGAAGAAAAAAGGCAGACGCAAGGCAGAAAAGGAGAAGAAUAGUGGCAGCAGCAGUAACUUAAUUCUCCAUGACGGGUUUUAUUUGUUUUGUUGCUCCCUAUUUAAGUAUGUCUAACUAAUUUUCUUAUACUGAGGUUAAGGAUGAAAUCAUAUUUAAUGAAAUAAUUAUGUUUUUAUUUAAUUAAUUCCGCUUUAAUGUUUAUGAUUUUUGUUGAAAAUGUGAGACUCGACAGUUCAUGUGGGGGACUCAAUUUGUGGUGUUUCCGUGCAAUAAUGUUGUACGCUCUAGAUGUUAAAAUCAAUGGAGCUAUUUCAGCCGUUCAAAAUCCGAAAAUUGUCUCCUUAUUUCUGAGUGAGAUAAAUUGAUAACAUCUUUUAGUGUGAUAAAUUUAUAAUUUUUUACUUAGUAAUUUUAUCUCGGCGUCUUUGACUGUUUACACAUAAAUUGACAAAAUCAGCCAUGAUUCUUAUGUUUCUCCUUAUAAAUGGAUAAUUUAAAUUUGUGAUAAUAUAUAUUUUAUUUAUUUUUCUUUAAAUGAUAGAAUAGUAGACAAAGUUCAAAUUAAAUCCUUAUUUCCAUUAGUUUUAGGAUUCAAACUCGGAACCAACCAAAUAAUACUAUUUGAAAACCACUCUUUAGGCCGGUGACAAAUAAGUGAUAAUAAGUUUUUGGUUUAUAAACAAAAUGACGACGUUUUCUAUGCGAAAUGAAUGGUGACUAUUGCUCUAUGCCACGAGCGAUUUUUGUGACUAUUCAGAUUCUCACAUGAAUAUAUAAUACAAUGGUUGAUUGAUAAAAGGAUGACGGGUCUUUUGUGAGCUUUGUAGAUAUAUUUUUCUUCCAUUUGUACUAUUGAAAAAAAAGAAAAAAUGGAUCUGAAUCUUCAAUUGAUUUUUUAAUUGUUUUAAGGGGAAAUUAAAGCACUUACGUGGUUUUGUACAAUUUUUAUAAAUAUAUAUAGUUGUUUUAAAAAAUAGUGACAUCGUCUCUUCUUACGACAACUAUGUCUUUUAUUGUAGCGAUCAAAUUAUUUUUAUCUAGGCGUAAUUAUUCAAAAAGUAUCUAUAUAAUCAUUUUGCUAAAUGACGAAAUGUGACCAUUUUUUUCUCAUUUUUUUUCAUUUACAAUGCUGAUAUUUUCAUACCACAAUUUUUGUAAACCCACCCCACUUCAAGAAAAUAAUUAUAAUAAAUUCACAUUAUUUUUAAGAAAAUUCAAAUAAAGAAGAAGUUUGAGAAGUAAUUAAUUAAAUCUACCUUGAUUUGUUUUGUGACUUUAAUUUUUUUUAUCAUAUUUGACUAAAAAGAUUGCUUUGUCAUAAUUUUAAAUUGAUUAUUUACUCUUAUAAGGUAAAAGUACCAAAAUACCAAAAAAUUUACUUUAAGUUCAGAAUUUUUGAAUUUUAUACAAAAUUUAUAAUUUCUAAAAAAUGUAUCAAAACAAAUUUAUUAGAAUGAUUAUUAAGAUUUAGUUAAACUAACAAAAUAUUUUUAUGGCAUAAGACUCAUGUAAUUUAUUGGAUGUCAUGUUGUAAGUCACAAAACUAAAUACCUAGAUUGUUAGAUAUAGGAAUAUUAUCACAUUAUCUUUGGAUAAUUUGGUCAUUUUAUGUAUCUUGGGUAAAACAUUGAAAUAAAAUUUAUCUUAACCAACCUUAAUAGCAAAUAUGGUUAAACAAACAUAAGUGAAAAAAAUACAUAAGAAUUAAUUGAUUAAUUGCCCAAUCUCUUUGUUUAUCUCUAUUUUUUGAAAAUAAUGUGAGCUUAUUAUAAUACUUCUAUCUCCCUCAAGAUUUACAUUCGGGUGACUAGCCAAAUAUAGAUGCUUGAAAACCAAAAGGCUUGGGGAAAUAAGAAAAUCUUAUAUAUUUUCACUAUCUGUUUCAACAAAUUUAUACACAUGGAAUCUGGUAAAUUUGUUUUCUUGAAAAAGUUGUUUCAAUUAAACCAUUAUUUUUUAAUUUUCAUCAAUAAUCAGUAUUGUUAACCACAUAAAUUUUAAUUCCAUUAUUGUUCCCUGAAAAAAAAUUAUUUAAAUAUAAUUUUCAAUAGCUAAAUUUAUUAUUAAAAUAUUUGAAUUUUUUUAAACCGCGAUAAAAAGAAGUCUAACCCGACCAACAGGUGCUAAAUUUUCUACAUGUUGAAAAAUUGACUUGAAUGUGGGAAAACAUUAAAGAAAAUAGGGCAAAAUAAUUGCUCGGUAAAAGCGUGAUAAUGAAAUAGCAAAAUUCUUUGACAAUUUUGUUCAUGCAAUUAAAUGCCAAAUGGUGAGGUUGGGGAUCAUUGAAGAAGUUGAAUGGUCUUUGGCCAUUAUGAAUGGUCGAUCCGCAAUUCAUUCAUGAUUUUUCAAUAUUUGCUCAUGGAAAUGGCGGAUAUUUCACCGGAUUUUGGACCGCAAGCUUAAGGCGAUCCUUACACGCCAUCUGUUGAAAAAUUCAAAAUUGAAAUUCAAAUACACAUGCAUGCAUUCAACUUUGAAGAGGUAAAUUUGAAGACAAAUUCCUUGCAUGCAAAUUUCAAGCACACCAAUAUUGAGCUAGCGUGAUCCAAUUGCAUGUGCUAAUUAUGUUGACCAGCUUUAAUUAUAUUAAAUAGUUUAAGAUAUUAAUUUUUUUUAUAUUUUAUAUUAAAUAUAAAUCAUGAAUUGUUUUAGAACUUUUUGAAAUUAAAAAAGUUUGGUAUUAAUAUUAAAUUAUAUUUUAUUAUUAAUAUAGAUAAUUUAAUAUUUAAGGCAAAAGAUAAAUUUGUCCAAAAAAAUUUACAAUUCCUUUCCCUAUUAAAUUUUAUGUCGAACCAAAUAAUGAAAUUUAAUUUCACUAUUCUCUUCCACUCCUCUCUUCUCCUUUCCCUCCAUUCCACUCUUUUCCUCGCCUUCCUUUUCUUAAAACCAAACACCACCUUAUAGCUAUUAUCGUCGCAAGCAUAGCGGAACCCAAGCUCAUGCUCAUGAUAGCACAACGUGGCCUACGGUGGCACCACGAUGUCCCCAGAGUCAUAGACAAACUUCGCAUAUCGACAGCCCGUACAGUAUAGCGGAUGCACAUCUAAACCUCAUGAUUCCGUAACACAGCUAGGCUUAAGGCCAACUACUGGCUAUACUGACUACUUACUAUUGUUCUAGAGCAGGGAAAGUCUUCAAGAAUGCUGCUACCGAAUGAAGUUCGUCUUUCCCCCCUUUCCCUAUAAUAAAGUGCAGGCCCCCGUAGAUAGAUAUCCCAUAUAGCCCCUCCUCAAGUCGACUUUUUGCCGUUGAAUCCCGAAGAAAGAAUAAAAUAGACAAAAUUCCUAACAAAAAGAUAGUGAUGGUUCCUCUUUGAGGGCCCGAAGGGCAACGUACCUAAUAGAUAAAGGAUUUUUCAAAUGGGAACUCAUCUUGUACUGCGACUUAAACAAUCAUCGUAGGAAGGGCCGGAAACUUGCGUUUUCUUAUGAUAGAUUGUACCAUGAUUAUCUUCUAUUUAUAUUCCCUAGUCUAUCUUUCUUCAAGUGAGAUAGUUGAGCCCGCCCCAAGCGGAACCGCAUGAGUUCACCGGGGUUGAGCACGGUCAGCCAAAAUCGGCAUAGGUUAGGUGCUAUUGAUGGAACAUGGUAAGCCUAUCUUUCUUCUCCAUAUAGAAGUGCUGUGGGAUUAAAGGAGUUGGAAGAUGAGCAGGAGUAUUCCCAAUCGACACUCCUAAAAAAGAUAAUAGGUAAUAUGAUAAGGAAUAGGAACAACAAAAGCAAGUCUUUUGAGUAUAAUCCUGGUAUCUUUCUACAAUCAUCUUUGUGGUGCAGACCGAUCAAUCCCCGAAAUAAGAUCACUUAAAGGAAAGGAGUGGAAAUAAGAUAGGUCUAUAUUCCUAUAGAAAGAGAAGCCCUUUCCCUCCCUACAUGAGUGAGUUGCCAAGUGCCUCCCGGGAGGGCAGUCUACCACAAGAUCUUACUCAUGAAUGUCAAGGAAGAAAAAGAAAGACAGGUAGGUUUGUAAACUAAAGCCAGAAGCCCGGGAAGAGGUGUUCUCCAUUAGUAGAAGUAAGUGGCUGAGUUAGCAAAGCCUACCCUACUAAUGUAUUGUAUAGUAGCGCCUUUUCCUUUUUGAAUAUAACUAAGGCUAGCCUGCUGGUAGUAGAAGGAAGCAGAGAUUCAGGCAGUUAGGCAUCAGUUUGAGUUCGAGAUCGAGACCCCAUAGAUAAGGUAGAUGUUAAUAGAUCAGUUCGGUCUCUGAGGCCGUCGAGUAAUCGUAAGUAAGUAGCAGCUAUCUCCGACCGAGCAGGUGUAGGGGAAGAAAAGACAUAACAAAAAAAAUUGUGUAAAAUAAAUGAAUUUAUCUAGUUGAGGCAUGCUUGAUUGCGCAUUCCUUUACGCAUUCCGCUGACCUUUCCAUUACCGUGGGAAAGCCUCACUCUCGGUGAAACAGAUAACAAUAUGAAUAAGCGGUUGUCGUCCGGCGGUCGGUAGCUCUACUAAGCGAAUAACCGCUCGCUGCCUUUUCUUCGCGAAUAACAUGUGUAGGUAGCCCAGGAGAAGAGAAGCAAGCUACCUUCGCCUACCUCCCCACCGCUCAUGACAAGCAACCAGCAGACUAGGUUUCAUUAUUAUAUAGGACUUCUUUUGUGCUACCACGCCUCUCUUGACCUCUGCUUGCAUCUCGAGAAAGUAUAAGGGUUGCCGAAGGUGAGGGAAGAG